UUUUUUUUUUUUUGUUAUCCUGUCAAGAUGGUGGACAUGCAUAUUGGUAAAAAAGCAAUUGCAAAAGAAGGAAAAAAAUUGUUUUAUUAGUAGAUGAGCCUCUUGCAAAAUAAUAAGGUGGCGUUUACAAAGGCAGCCACAUUUAAUGUGACCUAGAGUUUAACCCGCACGCAUGUACAUAUAUUUUUUAUUUUAUAAAUAUAUAACUUUGAUAUUAUCAUAAAAAGUACAAAUAUAUGAUUUAAAUUUAGUGUUAUCUAUACUAUAUUAAAAGGGUUAUAUGAGCAUCUGUCCACAUAGGACAAUUAAAUCAGCCAAUCAGGUGGCUUCUUUACGACACGUCAGACACGGUUUGACCAAAGGCGAUCCUCGACCCCUUUUCUUUUCGUCUUCUCCGUCAUCUUCGUUUCGUGAGAUCGCCGAUCUGGCUUACUAGCAAUCAAUCCCCUCCUCUGCAAUCAAUCCCCUCACCAUUUCUAUACACUAUUUAAUCUCAUUAAUGGAACCUUUUGAGCUUUCCCAAUCUGAGAUUCUAUAUAGAUCUCGCACUCCACCUCUUAUCUUCACUAAAACUUAUUCCCUCCUCACGUUAGCCAAUUGCCUUCUUUCUUACUCUCACGCGCCUCCUCUAGCGAACGAGCGAAGUAAUCUCCAGUCAUCGGAGAAGGAAUCCAAGGCGAAACGCCGCUAUUUGGAGAAGGAUAAAGGACAAAGCUCGAUUGAGAGGAUCGUUCUCCGUCUACGGAACUUAGGAUUAGCAGCUUCUGACGACGACGAGGAGGACGAUGCGGAGGAUAACGAGGAGGAGGAUGUGAAGAAGCCGGUGACUGAAGAAGAGAGGUUAGGCGAUUUGCUGAAGAGAGAGUGGGUGAGGCCUGAUGUGAUACUCGCUGAGGGAGAAGAGAGUGAUGAUGAGGAGGACGAUGAUGUGUUGUUGCCAUAGGAGAAGAACAAGGAAGAACAGGCGGCAGAGAGUAAUGAAGGAGAUGGAGGAUUGUCGGCGGUGAAGAAGAGGAGAGCUAGAGCUUCGUCGUUGUCGGAGCUUACGAUUGAGGAUUUUGGGCUACGGAGGCUGAGGAGAGACGGGAUGUAUCUGAGGGUGAGGAUUAAUAUACCUAAAGCUGGCCUCACGCAGGCGGUGAUGGAGAAGAUUCAUGAUAAUUGGAGGAAAGAGGAGCUUGUGAGGCUUAAGUUCCAUGAGGUGCUUGCUCGUGAUAUGAAGACCGGCUCAUGAGAUUGUUGAGGUAUGUUUCAAUUGAUUACUGGUUGAAAAAAGAUCUCUUUAUUGCGUGCAGGACGUUAGUUGAAUUUGAGGUGUGAAAUUUGAAAUUAGAUAGCUAAUAUAUAGGGACAAUAACCACUUAAUCUCAAGUUAGUUCUGCAAUAGAAUGGUCUUAGUAAUGAUCAUUCAAGUUAGUUCUCUCUUAGUCUUGAAUGAUCUUGAACAAUAAUUACCUAAUCUCAUUACCUAAUCUCAACUUAGUUCUGAAACUUAGUAGUUCUCUUUCUUAGUAACAGUAAUGCAGUUUUGUAUAGGAGAUGGAGCUGAGCAUGGCUGUUAAAUAGUAACAAGUUGAUGCAAAAAAAAAUUGUUUUGUUGGGAACUGAUUGGAUUUACUCUUGAUGGGCAGCGUCGAACUGGUGGAAUGGUGAUAUGGAGAGCAGGAAGUGUAAUGGUGGUUUACCGUGGACGUGACUAUCAAGGACCUUCUGCAGUCUUUAAUCAAAUGGCCAGACCUGAAGAACACUAUCAAGGACCUUCAGCAGGAAGUGUGCUGGUGUAUUCUUAUGUAACAGUAGAUGAUUUGAUGCGUUUCUUUAGUGUCAUUUCAUGAUAUCUUUAGAUAUGAAGAUAGGUUGGUUGAUGUUCUUGAAAACAUGGCGUUUUAAGGUGUAUUGGUUUGAGUUUUUGCAGCUGAUGAGAGAAGAUGAGGCAACCCUUGGUAAAAUAACUAAGCCUAGGCGUCCCAAGACUGUUGUUCUGUGUCCCACCAGAGAACUCUCUGAGCAGGUUCUUCUACUUCUACUGCUUUUAUUUUCUCUCUUUACCAAGAUUAGUUGCUGCUCUAGGACAUCGUAAAUUUGGAUUCCAUGUUUGAGUUGAAACAAAUUUGAACUUGUGAAAAAAAAAUAAAAAAAUAUGAACUUGUGGUUGCUGGGUAAAAUGUAAAAGUUGGAAUAUUUAUUUUCUAGAAAGUUUUGGUUGCCUUCUUAUAGGAUGACCAUAACACUGGAGAUCAUGAGGCAUAUGCCUGAGCAUCCCAACGUUGUUACCUUGAGGGAGACUUAUGAGGAUGAGCAUGCUGUGCAUUUGGGUAUGGAGCUUUGUGAAGGUGUUGAGUUGUUUGAUAGGAAUGUGGCGAGAGGGCAUUACACUGAGAGAGCUGCUGCUGUUGUCACUAAGACCAUCAUGGCAGUUGUUCAGGUUCGUCACGGUUUUGCUCUUUGUUUAUCUCCAGAUUGGUUUAUAGAUGUUCUAUGUCUUAGUUUAAGCUCGUGUGCUGCUCCUUCUUCCUCUUCCCUUGCCGUAAAACCCUUCAAAGGUUUCCAUUUGGACCUGUUUUUGAUUGUCCUUAAUGCUAUGCUACACUAGGAUUAGGCCACUUAAUCUCUUUGCUGCAGUCAGAAAAUGGAAAUUGUGGGUUCAUGCCAUGUAUAUACAGAGUUUGGGUGAUGUUCGCAUUUGAUGAUUCUGAUUCUGAUUUGAUUUGUGUUUUAAUUGAUAAAGACAGUUGCUUGCUCUUUUAUGAAUCUGUCCGUAAUUGUUUUAUUUACUAUGCUACACUAGGGCUAGGCUACUAAAUCUCUAUGCUGCACUCACAAAAUGGAAACCGUGGGUUCUUGCCAUGAAUAUUGAGAUUUUGGUGGUGUUUGCUCUAAUUUCAUUUGUAUUAAGCAGUCAUUUUGCAUGUGAUGCAUAAUAGACUUGCUUCUUAGAGGAUUUUUUUGUUUUGAUUUAUUUAUAAUAUAGCUGUUUGCUCUUCUCUGGAUAUGUUUUUAAUUUUUUGUUGUUGUUGUUGUUGUUGUUGUGUGUAUAGGGAUGAGCUGGGUCGCUUUGUUUCUAAUAAAGGCAAUGAAUCGGUUCUCAAGAACUUUUGGCAUCAUACAGAUGCUAUCAUCUGCUGCUCAAUGAAGGUACUAACUUAAACAUCAAACACUCAAUGAAUGUUUUAUUAUUCACUGAUCCUCUUUUAACCUUUUUUUGUUUAGGCCAUGCCAGUCUUCAUAUUUGCAAACCAGGCGGGGCUAGACAUGCUUGAGACAACAUUGGUUUCUCUUCAAGAUAUCUCUUUAGAGAAGAUAUUUGAUGACAAUGGAAGGAAGACUCUCUGCUCUGAGUUCCCACAGAUCAUGCAACAGGUUUUUUAACAACGUUCUGGUCUGAUUCGUGUAUGUAGUUUGAUAUCUGACUUUAACAUGAUUUUUUUGGUUUAGGGCUUUGCGAGUCUUCAAGGUGGGAUAUGUCUAUCAAGCAUGGGGAGACCAGUUUCAUACGAGAGAGCAGUUGCUUGGAAAGUACUCAAUGAAGAAGAGAAUGCUCAUUGUAUCUGCUUUGUGUUCAUCAACUGGUCCUUUGUUUGAUACUUCAAAAAUAAUCGGGUUUAAAGAUUUCUAAUUCAUGUAAUAUUAAAAAUUCAAAAUUUGUUUAUUACAGUUAAUAUUUUACCAUUAGAUAUAUUAAAAUAAUAUUCUAGAUCGAUAUUCAAUUGUCAGUUUUCAACUAUUACACGUAAAAAAUAUUAUUAAGUACAUUUUUUUUGAUAAGGGGGUUUUAUAUUUUAAGUAGGUUAUUGGAAUACUUUUUCUUUUCGUGAAUUUAUUCGAUAUGAGAUUUCGAUCUCUUAAACUAAGAUAAUUUAUGUUCUAUACAUAAUUAUAUUUUUUACGUAACUCUAAAAUCUCAGACUUGAUUCUUUAUAUUUUAUUAGUUAAUUGUGUUACAUAUAAUAGAAAUACUUACUUCAAACUUAAAAUAUAAAAAAAAAUCAAAUUUAAAAUUAGUUAUAUAUAAUUUAAUAUAUAAAAAUUCACAUACAAAUAAAAAUGAUAAAUGUAAUAAAUUUGAAUAUAUUAUCCGCGCGUAGCGCGGAAAAAAGAUCUAGUAUAUUGAAUAACUCUAUAAUCUUAUUGUCUAAGCUUCUUAUUCGUCAUUAUUAAUAUAUAGUGAUAUUUUGAGUUUGAUACAUAAAUUAUAAUCUGAAAUUAUUAAAUAUACGAUUUCUUUUAAUAAAGCUUUAUAAUUUCUACAAUUUGUAUACAAUACAUUUUAAAUUUUAUAUAGUUAUACUGCAUACGGAUAUUUGUUUAUUAUCUAUCUAUCUAUCUAUCUAUCUAUAUAUAUAAAAUAUUGUUUGCUUCACUCUCAUGCUGCCACGUCAUCGCCACGUAGAUAAGUCGAAGGCUCCUGUCUUGACACGUGUCUCACAUCCUCGAAACGCAACACUUCGUUAACUCUCGGAAAUUUGGUUAGUUAAGAUUUGAUAGAAACAAUUGCUUUGGGCUUAAAAGCAUAAGUCAAGUGGACUUCUGAUACAAUUAUCGGGCCCCAUUAUAAUUGUCUUCACCUUCACAACUUUGACGAAGAAAAGCAGUCAUGAAUUUCCGCUAUUGUUGAGCUCAUGUUUGUCAAACGGAAUAUGGAGCUCCAGCUGGGUUAAGAGGGAAAAUCAUUUCCGGCGAAUCUCUGGUGGAAGGCUCCGUUGUGGUGCAUAACUUCUCACCUACUUUAAAAAACUGACACCUUUACGAAUCUUCUCGGCAUUCAAUCAUUCACAUCAAUGUUCCAAUUAACUCCAUUUCCCCACUCCUUCCACGAUUUCUCAUUCAUUGCAUUCCCCCUAUCUCACAGUCGGUGAAUUUGUAGCUAUAAGUAUAUGAGUUUUUUUCCCAAAAAUUCAUCAUCUCAUUUCUCACACAAAAACCUUUCGCCAGAGUAUAACGACGUACUCCUCUCUCCUACUUGAUGACAUGAUGUUCGGGCUCUACUGUAACACAACUUUCGAACUACCUCUGAAAUACGGCAGCUGAGAUUUUUGGAUGGCGCUCGAGAGAGAAGCCGCAAGCUUAUGGGUGUCUGACAUGCUGGUCCUCCCACAAAUUAAUUCCAGCUAACAGAAAAUCAAACAUUUGAGAUUUUUUUAAUAGUUCAGUAUUACCAUGAUAGAUAUGAUCUCAGAGCCAAAGCCUUCCAAAAGUCUUCCCAGGUACAGCAAAAGAAAAGAAAAAAUUCAUUAGUUGCUGCUAGAACAAAACAGAGUAAUUUAAUAAUAAAGAAACAAGCUAUACCACUGGCAAUUGUAUCAAGACCCAUAUUGGAUAGAGAACCGAACACAUAGUACUAUUUAUAGCUAAGGGCAUCUCCAAUGGAACUUUAUUUUUUCUCUAUAAUUUACACAAAAAUAAAGUAACUCUAUUAUAGUGUAACUUUUGCUCCAAUGGUGUUACUCUAUAAUAGAGUUACUCUAUUACUCAAUUAUAGAGUAGAAUAUAGAGGAAUGUCAUAUUUUACUCUAUAUUUGGAAUGAAAAAGUGACAUUCCUCUAUAUUUCACUCUAUAAUAGAGUAACUCUAUUAUAGAAUAACACCAUUGGAGCAAAAGUUAAACUAUAAUAGAGUUACUCUAUUUUUGUGUAAAUUAUAGAGGAAAAAAUAGAGUUCCUUUGGAGAUACAAAAGAAGCUAUGGUCAGUCACACCUUUCUACAAAUGAUAGAAAAGGUUGAAAUUUUUCAUUGACUUACGGUGAAUCUGACAUAAAUAAAAAAUUUUAAGAACAGAGAUUGAGCUGUCUCUUUGAUAACUUGAGACAGAUCCAUCAUGCUCGAUUGUCUGGAACCCAUUCGGUACCAACAUCCCGUGUGUAUGAAAGGUCAUCACAGAUCAUUCUUGGCCCCUUUUGUAUCACUCUUCAUUUGAUCCUUAUCUCUACAUUAAAUCUAAUGUAUAAAUAUCUCCUCUUAUAUAUCAAAGCUUCAAGCUUUUCACAUACUGAUGAACUAAAAUGAUAACUCCUUUUGACUUUCUUCUCGGUUUAGAGGAUCUAGAAACUGAGUUUUUUAUGAAGAAGCUUGAAUGAGAACGGCUUAAGAGAGGCUGUCUUAUUGAGAAAGUAAAGGCAUUUGGGUGUAUAUGGCUGCAGUGUAGUGGUCAGUGGCUGGAGAGCUGGAGAGGCGAGAGGAGAUACUUCGUCAGAUAGUUUUUUUUAUGAUGACAAUUGUUAGGGUCAUGGCAUUAACCAAAUUUAGCCAAAAUAAAACUUCUUUUUAUAUAAUGGAUAAUUUAGUAUGUAUAUUUAUUUUCUAAUACUGAAAAUAUGAAAUAUGUAACUAAAAAGAGUUAUGCAAAUUUUGAGAAAACAUAGGGGUAACUAAUAAAUAUUAUUUUAUCAUAUGUUGGAGGAUUCAUUUUCUACUCAUUUUUCAAAGACCAGCUAUAUUUUUUGGAUAUUUAUCAUGUUUGGAUAGUGAUUCAACACCAUUAAUUACCUGGUUUUAAUUUGUGAAGUGAUAUAAUUAAAAUAAAAUAGUAAAUUUGUAGUAAAAUAGUGAAAUUGUAAUUAAAAAUAAACAAAAAUUUCAUCAAAAUUAAAUUAAAUUUAUAUUAUUUCGUUUAUUGGCUUAUUGCUGACCCGCCCGUCCGACCAUAGUAAUUUAUAUUUUCAUGUUGUGUUAUUUUUUUUUGUCAACGUUUCAUUUCAUUGAAAUGAAACACAAAGGCCUUACAUGGAUCAGGUUUAUACAAUGAAAGCCCAAACAAAGAUUCAAUUGAAAUUAAAAACACGGCCCAUGCCGAAGUCGGCAACAUGAUUAUCAUUCUCUCCACGCGUCACUUAUGGAAUGUCGUAGAACAUAUGGAUGAACACGUGUCCUUCAUGCCCGAGGGUGGUACUCCGGUGACGUUGAGGUUGUCGACGCUAUGAACUCCUCCGCAAUUGCUUGUAUCUUUGUCUUCCCCAAACUUCCCGAUCACAUCUAGCUCCAAUCCUCCACUAAAACCGCCAUUUACAGCCACAAUUUCUUUAUCUUCGACUGAUAAAUGCUGAGGAAAGCUCGAUUUUGAUAAAAACAAAACUUUUUAUCGGACCAUCAGAGAUGCCGAUUCUACUAAGUUUCGAAACACAUAUUACUUUGCAUCAAGGAGAAUUUAUGUCAUCUAGUGGCUCACAAUAAGUGAGAGCAAAAAUUGACACCAAUAAACAAAGUAUAUGAGGAUAAUCAAAAGAAGAAAAUACCCGACAUGAAACUAACAGGAUUUAAUUGACUUUGUAAAGGAGGGGAUGAGCUUUUUAAAUUAAAAUCAAACCAUUAUCAAAGAUAAAAUUCUUCAAUUUGACAAUCAGCAUUGAAAUAGUUUGAAAAGACACCACAAAAUCACCUAAGAGAAGAGUAAUCUGCAAUCAGAACAAAAAGAUUGAUCUGAUGAUCGAAGAUUUAGACAAGCAUAACGAUAAUUUUCAUCCCUAUGAAAGAUAUUGAUGAGUUAAGAGGGAUGAAUAGAGAAAAUUUCUCUCUCUCUCCAUGUUGUAUUCAAAAAUAAUACUUUAACAUCUAUCACUUUAGUAUUUUGCAAAAUUUUAUAAGUAGAUACAUUGUUAUAUUUAAAUGAUAUAGCUUUGUUGUUUUAGUAAAUUGUAUACAUAGUAGUAUCUAUCAUACUUUUUUAUUAAUAUAUGAUUUUUUUUAAUGCUACAGCAUUAAGUUUUUUGAUUUUUUUUAUUAUUAAAUUGAGAUUUCAGAAUACUAUAUUACUUUCGAUUUUACAACCUAACUUUUUGUGUUACAUUUCAAAGAAUUAUAUUUUAGCAUCUAUGAUUUUACGUUUUAUAAAAUUUGAAAUAUUAUCAUUUUGAGUUUUCAAUAUUUAUUUUUAAAAUUGUAUACUUGGUCAAGAGAAAUUUAGAAAAUUACACAAUUAUUUUUUUAAUUUGGAACAUUAUAUUUUUUUUUGAAGAUUUCUUACUAAAUUAAUUCAAUAUUUUAUUAAAAAUAUAUUUGAACUCUUCUUAGAUUUUGUAUAUUUUUCUCAACAUAUUUUGUUAUAAUUAAAAGAAACAUUAAAUUUAUAAGAAAAAUUGAUUUGUCAUUAAUAUUUUUAGUUAAUUAUUAAAAUUUCAAAAAAUUCUAGUAACAUAUUCUGUAAAAUAAGAAAUGAACUAAAGCUUAGAUAUAUACUAUUAUUUUGUAUAUAAUUAUGAGAAAUUAUUAGAAAUACCACAAGUGAAGUGCCACUUUUCAAAAAUACCACCAAUAAAAAAUUAUACUAACAUUUGGGUUUAUGCUUUAGUAAUUAUUGUUUAGGGUUUAGUAUUAAGGGGUUAAGGUUGUGUCGAUAAAUGUUCUAUAAAUAUUUUAAAAAAUUAGGUUAGUGUUAUUUUACAAAGGCGAAUUGCCACUAAUACCACUUUUCUAAUACCACUUUUCAACUUUACACUAACCAAUUUUACCAUUAAAAUUUUAAUAGGUAAAAUACCAUUAUACCCCUAAUUAAUUAAACCUAAAACUAUUCUCUUCUUCCCCAAAGAUUUCUUCAAAUCUCAGAUCCAAAAUGAACGAUACAUGUAAUCAAAUCCGACGAAUCAGACGAUGUUGACGAGUUCUCCGGCGCUGAGGAGUUCUCCGGCAAAAUUUCUGACUAGUUAUACGGCGAGAUCCGACGACGCUGCUGAUGAGCUCAAACGAACAAGACGAGUUCUCGGCGAGAUUUACGAACACUGAAGAGUUUCCGACGAGAUCUGACGACGAGUUUUCCGGCGAGAUCUAACGAAGACGAGUUCUCCGAUGAAGCUGACAGACUCUACAAGCUCAGACGAACGAGACGAUCUCUUUCCCUACACCUAAGAAACGCUAACAAAGGUAAGAGGAUAAUAGAUGGUGAUUUUCGUCUCUUUCUGUAAUUGUAGGUUGGUUUAUCAAAAUCGAUCUGUUUCUCGAAAGGAAAACGAAAUUUUUCUCAUGAAGUUUUCAAAUCUCAAAUUUAUAAGACCUUAUAAAUUGAGUCCUUUCGAAUCUUACUGUUGAUUUGUUAGCAAUCAAAAGACAUAGAGCUUAACAUAUAUUUAAUUACUAACGUAAGAGUAAUAUUAUUCCAUGAUUACUUCUUCUUUUGGUUGAUCUGGUAAUGUUGCAGGGAAUUACAAAGGUGUGCUGUGAGCUUUUAGAUUUAAAGGAUGCUGUGGAGAAUAUAUGUGGUGAUAUGCAUAUCAAGUACCUCACUUUCUUGAGGUAAUACAAUGCUACUAUUUGUAGUUUGACUAGCAAAGUUUAGUAUGUGCAAUAUAUGAGGUAGAAGGUUGGUAUUUUGAUGUAACGUUAUGUUUGGUACUUUAUGAGAUUCAUUUUUAUGUCUUGUUUUGUGUAUAAUAUCUAAAGAAGCAGUGGAGAUGGAGAUGAGUUUGUUGAGUUACGAAAGCAUAUUAUUUUUGAAUCUUGUUUUUGGAAGUGAGCUAGUGCUGAUGCGUAGGAAUAAUAUGUGAUUGGCUUGCGUUCAGAUUUUGAAGAUCGACCAGGUUGGUGAGCUGUUUGAAGAAGUAAGAGGGACUCUGAACUAGAACGUGGUUUGUGCGAUCAAAGAAUUACAUAUUUAUAACGCUUUAUAAAAGUUGCAGAGUUGGCUUGGUAAUACAUUCUUCUCUCUCAUCUUCUUCAGACAUCUCUUAAUUAGGAUGUUAUCGCAUCCAAGGGCUCAAACCAUACUUGUAGAUGGAGCUUUUAGGGAGGGCGAGCCGCUGAUUCCACUUCCUUCAUUUAAGAUCUUGGUGCUUCUCACAUUCUCUUCUCCAUCCACAGGAGUUAAGGUAAGUAGUAGUAUUUAUAAAACUAAACCAUGAAAUGAGCUUGUUUGAUUCUAAUCACAAGCAUGGUCUCUGUACAGUCUACAUAGAGGGUUGAGACAGUAUAUCCCUUGCUGAAGGACGUGGCUCUUUCACCAGAUAUGUCUUUUUGUGUUAAUUGUCUUUUUGAGGGACUUUAGAAAACUUAACUUGUAACCCAUUAUAAAUCAGUUUAUAAACGUUUAUAAAUCAUUUUUGAGUUCCUUAUACUUAUUCUGCCUAGCAUUCCUCACAAGACUUCUCAAGUUCACACAUUUAUAUGUUUUAAUAGACAUAUCCGAUCAACUCUUGUUUAAAAACUUCUUUAUAAAGACUUAUAAAUCGUAGUUUCACAAAAAAAAAAAAAAAAAGAGACUUAUAAAUCGUCAAGUUGUACUUUUAAUAAUAUCCUGAAAUCCAGAUUUAUAAAGAAUUAUAAUUAAUGCAGUGUUCACUAUCCGAAAAUCUUAAUCUUAACCAGAAUUAUUCAAAUAACAAGUCCAACUAAGCCUUAUUUGCUUUUUGGAUAACAGAAGGAAGCAAAUCCUAAAAUUACUUGAACUCUUAUUUAAAAACUUUUUUAUAAAGACUUAUAAAUCGUCGAGUUGUACUUUUGAAAAUAUCCUGAAAUCCAGAUUUAUAUUUUAUAAAGGUCUAAAAAAUUGGAACAAAUUUAACUUUUAGUAAAUAACUGCAUGACUAAUGUUGUAGAGAGAAACUCACACACAUUCAAAGACUGAAUUGAACAACAUUAAAGAGUUGACGAAGUCGGUUGUUUAGAACAUAUUCAUAUAAAUUGUUUUUAUAAAUAUUUUAUAAACUCUUAUAAAUUAUUUACAUACCUUUAUAAACCCUAGAAAAUUAUUUUAUUAACUCUUAUAACUUGUUUAAUAAGCUUUUCUAAAUGGUUAUAGACUCUUAUAAUUGAUUUAAGAUCUCCAAUUGAUUUCUAAACCUGUAUAUACCUCUAUAAACCUUAUAAAUUAUAUACAUACCCCUUAUAAAUGAUUUAUAAACUUUUAUAAUUUUUUUAAUAAACAUUUAUAAAUUGUUUAUAUACUUUAUAAAAUUUUUUAUAAGCCUUUAUAGAUGGUUUAUAGACUCUUACAAAUAAUUUGUAAACCUUUAUAAAAGGUUUAUAAUAUUUAUAAAUUGUUUUUAAUAAAAUUUUAUAAAUGAUUUAUAAACUCUUAUUAAUUAUUUAUAUAUCCUUAUAAAUAUUAUUUUACAAGUCUUUAUAAAUUGUUAUAGCCUCUUAUAAAUGAUUUCAUAGACUUUCUAUGUGAUUCAUAAACCAAUAAACCUUAUAAAUUGUAUGCAUAUCCCUUAUAAAUUGUUUAUAAACUUUCAUAACAUUUUUAUAAACAAUUAUAAAUGGUUUAUAGACUUUAUUAAUUGUUUUAUAAACCUUUAUAAAAAGAUUAUAAACUUUGCAAAUUGUUUUAUAAACUUUUAUAAAUGAUUUAUAAACUCUUAUUUGCUUUUCAUCUCUCCUUUGCUCUUUAUUUUUAUCUUCUUUCAUGUGUUAUUGCCUUAUAUCAUACGUUGCAAAAUGUAAAUUCACAAAUCCUUGUUCCCAUUAGCUUUUCUUCAUUUUAUAUCCUUGUUGAACCGUCAAGAUCCAUGUUAUCAAGAUCAGGAGGUGUUGGGUUCACGAAAUGUUUGUAUUCCUCAGGGAAUCCAAACACUGUAUUAACCACAAGAUGUAACAAAGAAUAAACAACGUUUUAUAAGUCUCUACAAAUCUCUAAUUUAUAAUUUAAUAAACUCCUAUAAACUACAUUUAUAAUCUUUUAUAAACACUUCACAUUAUUGCAAAGACACCGAUUGGAUAAUCACUUUUGAAUUGUCUACUGGUUCUGUUCCAGCUUCAUAAAUCCUCAGAGGCAAUCUCAAAGAUGUGCAAUUCAUUGCUAUCUAGCUGCAAGACGAAAUAAAAAAUGAUGUUAACUUUUAAUCAUGGUCUAAAAAUACCUUAUCCAAUCAUAAUGUUUAUAUAUUUCGAUAACAACCUUACAAAGAAUAUAUGAUAACAAAAGACGAGACUUUUCAAAUUCACACAUUUAUAUGUUUUUUAUAGACAUAUAUGAUUAACUCCUGUUUACAACCUUUAAUUAUAAAAUCUUGUAUUGCAUUGAGUUGUACUAUCGACAAUAUCCUAAACCCAAGAUUUAUAAGAGGUUAUAAUUCUUUAAAAUGCAAUGUUCACUAUCCGAAAAUCUUUCUCCUAACAAGAACUAUUCAAAUGACAAGUCUAAAUCAACCUUAUUUGUUUUUUGGAUAAUAGAGGAACGAAAAUCCUAAAAUUACUUGAACCCAGAUUUAUAAUGGUUUAUAAUUUUUCAAAAAUUCAAUGUUUACUAUUGAAACUCUUUCCCUUAGAUCGACAUGUUCUAAACCUACCUUCGUUGACUUUCUUCGAACAAAAAAAAAUACCUAAGUAGCUGCUUCCACCUCAUCUGGUUCCCUUGACCAUCUCAAUCCACAAUACUCGCCUGCUGCAACUUGCGUCUUCUUCGACGUAGCAAGAACUUUCUCCAAAUCCAACUGUGACAAUGGCCUAGGUACCUGACAAACAAAAUGAUAGCAACUCACAACAUCAACACUUGCAAAUUUGGUGACUGCAACAGCAUUGGACAUUUUCAUAUGAAACUUAGAGGACAUGGUCUCCAUUUUCUCUCUUCCUCUAGGAUUUCUCUGAUAGGGAAGUAAGCUGCUUUCUUGCAGAGCUCAAAGAUGUCUGAUCCGGUGUAGCCUCCGCAUAGACGAGCUAAGUGAUCGUAGUCAAUAUCGGGCUCCACCCUCUCUCCCUUCAGCGUCACUUUCAAUAUCUCAGCUCUCUCCUUACGUUCAGGCAUUCCAAUCUCAAAGGCUUGAGGAAGACGCCUCAUUAUUGGUUCAUCAAACUCUGAUGAUCUGUUUGUUGCAGCAAGUACCAUCACCCUCGCAUUCGCUACGAAGCAACCAUUAUACUCAUUUAAAAACUACUGUAUCCAAGUAGAGCAUGCUCUAGACUGCACUAGAGUGAUCUGAAAGGUGAAUGAUUCAACUUACGAUCAGUAGAAAACCCAUCCCAUAAAGCCAUAAACUUAGUCUUCAUGUUUGCCAUGGCUUCGUGAUCUGUGACUUUUGUACCUGUGACUUUUGUUUCAUGCAUCUUUUUCUUCACUUAUAAAUCAUUGAGUUGUAUUUAUCAACAAUCUCAUGAAACCCAGAUUUAUAAGGGGUUAUAAUUCUUUAAUAUUCAGUUUUCACUAUCGUAACUUAUCUCUUCCUUAAUAUGCAGUUUUCACUAUCGGAAAAUCUAUUUCUUAGCUGAAACCAUUCAGAUCAAUCUUAAUAUGACUUCAAAACCAGAUUUAAGUUUUCAAAUACUCAAUGUUUUCACUCUCAACGUUUCACUAUGAAAUCAGUUUCUCUUAGAUCGACCUCUUUAAAUGAGAUAUCUAAGAGAACCUUGUUUGAUUUUUCGAUAAGAGAAAGCACAAAAUCGAAUCAAACAAAAAAAAAUACAGAAAUUAGAGAACAAACAAAUACAGAAAUUAGAGACAUACAAGUUGUGAAUCACGUAUAGGAGUCGACAUCUUGGAGAUUUUGAAUCGAUUUCGUCGCCGGAAGUCUACGGUGAGAGAGACACGCCGGAACUAGACGGUGAGAGAGAGACGCUAGAAGGAGAGAGAGACGACGGUGACUCGACGGUGAGAGAGAGACGACGGGGACUCGGGAAGAGGGAGAGAAACCGAUGGUGGAGAAGAAGAUAAGGUAAGGGUAUUAUUAUCUUUUGCUCACUAAUGAAAGUGGUAUUUCUGAAAAUGUCCUUAGACUUAUGGUAAAGUUGAAAAGUGGUAUCCAACAAAGUGUAAAAGUAAAAUUUAAAUUGCCACUAAUACCAUUUUUCUAAUACCACUUUUCAACUUUACACUAACCAAUUUUACCAUUAAAAUUUUAAUAGGUAAAAUACCAUUAUACCCCUAAUUAAUUAAACCUAAAACUAUUCUCUUCUUCCCCAAAGAUUUCUUCAAAUCUCAGAUCCAAAAUGAACGAUACAUGUAAUCAAAUCCGACGAAUCAGACGAUGUUGACGAGUUCUCCGGCGCUGAGGAGUUCUCCGGCAAAAUUUCUGACUAGUUAUACGGCGAGAUCCGACGACGCUGCUGAUGAGCUCAAACGAACAAGACGAGUUCUCGGCGAGAUUUACGAACACUGAAGAGUUUCCGACGAGAUCUGACGACGAGUUUUCCGGCGAGAUCUAACGAAGACGAGUUCUCCGAUGAAGCUGACAGACUCUACAAGCUCAGACGAACGAGACGAUCUCUUUCCCUACACCUAAGAAACGCUAACAAAGGUAAGAGGAUAAUAGAUGGUGAUUUUCGUCUCUUUCUGUAAUUGUAGGUUGGUUUAUCAAAAUCGAUCUGUUUCUCGAAAGGAAAACGAAAUUUUUCUCAUGAAGUUUUCAAAUCUCAAAUUUAUAAGACCUUAUAAAUUGAGUCCUUUCGAAUCUUACUGUUGAUUUGUUAGCAAUCAAAAGACAUAGAGCUUAACAUAUAUUUAAUUACUAACGUAAGAGUAAUAUUAUUCCAUGAUUACUUCUUCUUUUGGUUGAUCUGGUAAUGUUGCAGGGAAUUACAAAGGUGUGCUGUGAGCUUUUAGAUUUAAAGGAUGCUGUGGAGAAUAUAUGUGGUGAUAUGCAUAUCAAGUACCUCACUUUCUUGAGGUAAUACAAUGCUACUAUUUGUAGUUUGACUAGCAAAGUUUAGUAUGUGCAAUAUAUGAGGUAGAAGGUUGGUAUUUUGAUGUAACGUUAUGUUUGGUACUUUAUGAGAUUCAUUUUUAUGUCUUGUUUUGUGUAUAAUAUCUAAAGAAGCAGUGGAGAUGGAGAUGAGUUUGUUGAGUUACGAAAGCAUAUUAUUUUUGAAUCUUGUUUUUGGAAGUGAGCUAGUGCUGAUGCGUAGGAAUAAUAUGUGAUUGGCUUGCGUUCAGAUUUUGAAGAUCGACCAGGUUGGUGAGCUGUUUGAAGAAGUAAGAGGGACUCUGAACUAGAACGUGGUUUGUGCGAUCAAAGAAUUACAUAUUUAUAACGCUUUAUAAAAGUUGCAGAGUUGGCUUGGUAAUACAUUCUUCUCUCUCAUCUUCUUCAGACAUCUCUUAAUUAGGAUGUUGUCGCAUCCAAGGGCUCAAACCAUACUUGUAGAUGGAGCUUUUAGGGAGGGCGAGCCGCUGAUUCCACUUCCUUCAUUUAAGAUCUUGGUGCUUCUCACAUUCUCUUCUCCAUCCACAGGAGUUAAGGUAAGUAGUAGUAUUUAUAAAACUAAACCAUGAAAUGAGCUUGUUUGAUUCUAAUCACAAGCAUGGUCUCUGUACAGUCUACAUAGAGGGUUCAGACAGUAUAUCCCUUGCUGAAGGACGUGGCUCUUUCACCAGAUAUGUCUUUUUGUGUUAAUUGUCUUUUUGAGGGACUUUAGAAAACUUAACUUGUAACCCAUUAUAAAUCAGUUUAUAAACGUUUAUAAAUCAUUUUCGAGUUCCUUAUACUUAUUCUGCCUAGCAUUCCUCACAAGACUUCUCAAGUUCACACAUUUAUAUGUUUUAAUAGACAUAUCCGAUCAACUCUUGUUUAAAAACUUCUUUAUAAAGACUUAUAAAUCGUAGUUUCACAAAAAAAAAAAAAAAAAGAGACUUAUAAAUCGUCAAGUUGUACUUUUAAUAAUAUCCUGAAAUCCAGAUUUAUAAAGAAUUAUAAUUAAUGCAGUGUUCACUAUCCGAAAAUCUUAAUCUUAACCAGAAUUAUUCAAAUAACAAGUCCAACUAAGCCUUAUUUGCUUUUUGGAUAACAGAAGGAAGCAAAUCCUAAAAUUACUUGAACUCUUAUUUAAAAACUUUUUUAUAAAGACUUAUAAAUCGUCGAGUUGUACUUUUGAAAAUAUCCUGAAAUCCAGAUUUAUAUUUUAUAAAGGUCUAAAAAAUUGGAACAAAUUUAACUUUUAGUAAAUAACUGCAUGACUAAUGUUGUAGAGAGAAACUCACACACAUUCAAAGACUGAAUUGAACAACAUUAAAGAGUUGACGAAGUCGGUUGUUUAGAACAUAUUCAUAUAAAUUGUUUUUAUAAAUAUUUUAUAAACUCUUAUAAAUUAUUUACAUACCUUUAUAAACCCUAGAAAAUUAUUUUAUUAACUCUUAUAACUUGUUUAAUAAGCUUUUCUAAAUGGUUAUAGACUCUUAUAAUUGAUUUAAGAUCUCCAAUUGAUUUCUAAACCUGUAUAUACCUCUAUAAACCUUAUAAAUUAUAUACAUACCCCUUAUAAAUGAUUUAUAAACUUUUAUAAUUUUUUAAUAAACAUUUAUAAAUUGUUUAUAUACUUUAUAAAAUUUUUUAUAAGCCUUUAUAGAUGGUUUAUAGACUCUUACAAAUAAUUUGUAAACCUUUAUAAAAGGUUUAUAAUAUUUAUAAAUUGUUUUUAAUAAAAUUUUAUAAAUGAUUUAUAAACUCUUAUUAAUUAUUUAUAUAUCCUUAUAAAUAUUAUUUUACAAGUCUUUAUAAAUUGUUAUAGCCUCUUAUAAAUGAUUUCAUAGACUUUCUAUGUGAUUCAUAAACCAAUAAACCUUAUAAAUUGUAUGCAUAUCCCUUAUAAAUUGUUUAUAAACUUUCAUAACAUUUUUAUAAACAAUUAUAAAUGGUUUAUAGACUUUAUUAAUUGUUUUAUAAACCUUUAUAAAAAGAUUAUAAACUUUGCAAAUUGUUUUAUAAACUUUUAUAAAUGAUUUAUAAACUCUUAUUUGCUUUUCAUCUCUCCUUUGCUCUUUAUUUUUAUCUUCUUUCAUGUGUUAUUGCCUUAUAUCAUACGUUGCAAAAUGUAAAUUCACAAAUCCUUGUUCCCAUUAGCUUUUCUUCAUUUUAUAUCCUUGUUGAACCGUCAAGAUCCAUGUUAUCAAGAUCAGGAGGUGUUGGGUUCACGAAAUGUUUGUAUUCCUCAGGGAAUCCAAACACUGUAUUAACCACAAGAUGUAACAAAGAAUAAACAACGUUUUAUAAGUCUCUACAAAUCUCUAAUUUAUAAUUUAAUAAACUCCUAUAAACUACAUUUAUAAUCUUUUAUAAACACUUCACAUUAUUGCAAAGACACCGAUUGGAUAAUCACUUUUGAAUUGUCUACUGGUUCUGUUCCAGCUUCAUAAAUCCUCAGAGGCAAUCUCAAAGAUGUGCAAUUCAUUGCUAUCUAGCUGCAAGACGAAAUAAAAAAUGAUGUUAACUUUUAAUCAUGGUCUAAAAAUACCUUAUCCAAUCAUAAUGUUUAUAUAUUUCGAUAACAACCUUACAAAGAAUAUAUGAUAACAAAAGACGAGACUUUUCAAAUUCACACAUUUAUAUGUUUUUUAUAGACAUAUAUGAUUAACUCCUGUUUACAACCUUUAAUUAUAAAAUCUUGUAUUGCAUUGAGUUGUACUAUCGACAAUAUCCUAAACCCAAGAUUUAUAAGAGGUUAUAAUUCUUUAAAAUGCAAUGUUCACUAUCCGAAAAUCUUUCUCCUAACAAGAACUAUUCAAAUGACAAGUCUAAAUCAACCUUAUUUGUUUUUUGGAUAAUAGAGGAACGAAAAUCCUAAAAUUACUUGAACCCAGAUUUAUAAUGGUUUAUAAUUUUUCAAAAAUUCAAUGUUUACUAUUGAAACUCUUUCCCUUAGAUCGACAUGUUCUAAACCUACCUUCGUUGACUUUCUUCGAACAAAAAAAAAUACCUAAGUAGCUGCUUCCACCUCAUCUGGUUCCCUUGACCAUCUCAAUCCACAAUACUCGCCUGCUGCAACUUGCGUCUUCUUCGACGUAGCAAGAACUUUCUCCAAAUCCAACUGUGACAAUGGCCUAGGUACCUGACAAACAAAAUGAUAGCAACUCACAACAUCAACACUUGCAAAUUUGGUGACUGCAACAGCAUUGGACAUUUUCAUAUGAAACUUAGAGGACAUGGUCUCCAUUUUCUCUCUUCCUCUAGGAUUUCUCUGAUAGGGAAGUAAGCUGCUUUCUUGCAGAGCUCAAAUAUGUCUGAUCCGGUGUAGCCUCCGCAUAGACGAGCUAAGUGAUCGUAGUCAAUAUCGGGCUCCACCCUCUCUCCCUUCAGCGUCACUUUCAAUAUCUCAGCUCUCUCCUUACGUUCAGGCAUUCCAAUCUCAAAGGCUUGAGGAAGACGCCUCAUUAUUGGUUCAUCAAACUCUGAUGAUCUGUUUGUUGCAGCAAGUACCAUCACCCUCGCAUUCGCUACGAAGCAACCAUUAUACUCAUUUAAAAACUACUGUAUCCAAGUAGAGCAUGCUCUAGACUGCACUAGAGUGAUCUGAAAGGUGAAUGAUUCAACUUACGAUCAGUAGAAAACCCAUCCCAUAAAGCCAUAAACUUAGUCUUCAUGUUUGCCAUGGCUUCGUGAUCUGUGACUUUUGUACCUGUGACUUUUGUUUCAUGCAUCUUUUUCUUCACUUAUAAAUCAUUGAGUUGUAUUUAUCAACAAUCUCAUGAAACCCAUAUUUAUAAGGGGUUAUAAUUCUUUAAUAUUCAGUUUUCACUAUCGUAACUUAUCUCUUCCUUAAUUAAUAUGCAGUUUUCACUAUCGGAAAAUCUAUUUCUUAGCUGAAACCAUUCAGAUCAAUCUUAAUAUGACUUCAAAACCAGAUUUAAGUUUUCAAAUACUCAAUGUUUUCACUCUCAACGUUUCACUAUGAAAUCAGUUUCUCUUAGAUCGACCUCUUUAAAUGAGAUAUCUAAGAGAACCUUGUUUGAUUUUUCGAUAAGAGAAAGCACAAAAUCGAAUCAAACAAAAAAAUACAGAAAUUAGAGAACAAACAAAUACAGAAAUUAGAGACAUACAAGUUGCGAAUCACGUAUAGGAGUCGACAUCUUGGAGAUUUUGAAUCGAUUUCGUCGCCGGAAGUCUACGGUGAGAGAGACACGCCGGAACUAGACGGUGAGAGAGAGACGCUAGAAGGAGAGAGAGACGACGGUGACUCGACGGUGAGAGAGAGACGACGGGGACUCGGGAAGAGGGAGAGAAACCGAUGGUGGAGAAGAAGAUAAGGUAAGGGUAUUAUUAUCUUUUGCUCACUAAUGAAAGUGGUAUUUCUGAAAAUGUCCUUAGACUUAUGGUAAAGUUGAAAAGUGGUAUCCAACAAAGUGUAAAAGUAAAAUUUCCCCUUUUACAAAUGUAAGGUAUUUGUGAAAAUAGUCAUUAAUUAAUGGUAAAUUUGAAAAGUGGUAUCAAACUUGUGGUAGAAUUGAAAUUUCCUCAAUGAUGCAUAGAUAAUAUAUUGUUGCGAGUUUCCAAACAAAUUAGACGAUAAUAUAUAGUCAUGGAUAUAAAAGUUUAACAAAUGUCAAUAAUUUUAGUUUUGUAUAAAAUAUUACAUAGUUUACGAAUUUUAACCCAUUUUGAUGAUGAAUGAUAAUUUAUUUAAAUGAAACUGUUUUUUCUUUCUUAAAAAAAUCUGUUAAUACCAAUUUAGUAUAUUGUUUCAUAUUUAAUUUAUAAAGCACAUCUAUUUUAAUAUAAUAUAGACUUUAAUUCUAAAAUUCAUAAAAUAGCAUAGAAUUUUUAUUUUCUGUUGUGUGUGAUAAAUUUCAAUUAUCAUUAUUUUAAUAAGAUUACAUUACUAAUUACGAAAUUAUAAUGCACUAUUUUUAAAAAGAAUGACAAAACGUUUGGUAGGAUUUUGUUAGAUUUUUUCUCAACAGAUUUUGUUAUAACAAAAAAUAAAAUUCAAAUUUCUAACUAAAAUUGAUUUAUUAUUAAUAUAUUUAUUGAUUAUUAAAAUUUAGUGUAAAUAAUUAAAUAUGUCACAUUAAGUAGUUAAUCAGAUGGUCCUACUAUAACUUGUCAAUGGUAGAUAAAAUACGAGACUCUAAAUUAAUUGAGUAGAUUCUGUAUAGUUGCAAAUACAUAGAGGUGAAAUUUCUAUGAAUAUUAUUUUUCGCUGAUCUAUAGGGACACAUAAAGUUUUACAACAAAGUAUAAAUUGUAUUUUCCAACCGAUCUAUAAAUAGAUGGAGAUAAUAUAAAUAUAUAGUUAUUAUUUCGUUUUUAAGAAAAUCUUAUUUUAUUUUACAGUUUCAUAUUAAAAAAGUAUUAAAGAGAAAUUAUUGGAAAAAAACAAAUAUAUAUAUAUAUAUAUAUAUAUAUAUAUAUAUAUUUAUUUAUUUAUUUAUUUUCCGUUCUACACACGAGGUGGUGGCCCUUUUAUUGGUGGUAGUGGUGGACCGCAUAUAUUAUUGUAGCAGUGGCAAUAGUGUUUAUUGUCCUUAACAGCACACGUACCAAAGUAAAAUCCAGUUUUUGGGCCUGACUCCUUGCAAAGACGCAAACAUUCAGCAUCACGGUUUGGUUUAUGACACAUAUCCGGCGGUGCAUUUUCGAGUGGAAUUCCACGACAACGGCGCUCGAAAUCCUUAGCAGCAUUAGCAUUUAUUUUUUCUGUUGAAAUAGUGACUUUAAGUGAGAAUAGAAGUUGACAAAAAAAAAAAGAGAAUACAUAAAAUUUUAUAAAUCGCAAAACCAUAAACCAUUCACAACACUUAUAUAUGUGUUAUAUAAAUUACCUGUCAAAAUUAACAAAGGUAUCAUAAGAAUAAUAGAGAAGGAAACUACUUUUUCUCUUUUAUACAUGCUUUUUUUCUCUUCGUUUAUGAUUUUUUUUUUAAUUAAUUGAAUGUUCUAUGUACCUCAUUGUCAAAUUAAGGUAUAUAGAGUGUUUUCAAUUCUUAAAAUAGGAAUAAGUAAAAACGGCAAACAAGGAGAAAAACUGAAAUUUAAUGAAUACCACAUAACUGAAGUAAACCUUUAAUAUCGUAUUCACUAAAAUUGGGUUAUGGCUUAUAAGUCUACGGCUGAUUCAACCAUAACUUUUGGAAACUUUGCUAAAAAAAAAAGAUAACUUAUCCCCCUAUAUAUUAAUAGAGAAUCAUUUAAAAAGUUAUAACCUUUAGUUUGUAUUAAUUAAAAAAGUAUCAUGCUGAGUUGUCACGUAAGUAAAAUGUUAAUUUUGCUAACGUGGUGGCUUGAGAAUCAAUAGAGAAUUUUGUUAGUCCAAAAUUAAAUUGCUAGGGAAUCCCCUAUAUAUUAAUCUUGGAGCAUUACAACAUAUUUUCGUAGCCACGUGUCAUCACGAGAAUAAUUCUUAGAAUUGUUAGAAAAAUAAGUUGGUCCAUAUAAACAUAUACUAUGAUUUUUAUUAAAAUAACUAUCAAAUUAAUUAGUAGUGUACAAAAGAAUAUUUUUUCUUUCUUUAAAUAAAAUCUACAUAAUAACCUAAUAUGGUUAACAUAUAUAUGAUAAUUAAUUAUUAUGAAAAAUACAUAUUUGACAACAAUUUUUCUAACCCCUCUCUUUUCUGUUUAAUUUUAUACUAUUAAAAGAAAUUAAACAAUCACGUUAAGCACAAAAUUAAAAAAAUUAGAUUUUUUCUUAUAGGUUAUAUUUCGAAUUUUUAAAAAUGACUAUACAAUAUUAAAAAUGGUAAAAGUCCCACAUUGAAAAUUUUGUGAUCAAUGGUUUAACUUUUAUAUUGUUCAAGCAAGAUACAAAUGAUGAUCAUAUAUCGUAGGGGUUGGCGUUCGGUUACACGUUUGGGUUCGUAUCUGGUAUUUUAGUAUAAAAGCAUAAAGCCCAUUCGGAUAUUUCUACACUUCGAGUCGGGUUCAUGUAUUUAAUGUUCAGGUUUGGUAAUUUUGGGCCGGGUUUGGAUAUUUAAAUUUUGAAGAAAAAAUAAAUAAAUUGUUUAAGUUUUUUUGUAUAUAAAAUAUUUUAACUUCUUUUCUAAUUUUUAAAAAUUUAAACUAUUAAUAGGUCUAGAGAUAAAACUUUUAAAAUAAAAAGACACUAAUUUCGUUGUUGGUUUGAAAUUUUAGAUGCAAAUUUUAUUAAUGCAAGAAACAAGAGCUUGAUAUAUAUUUUAAUUGAGUAGCAAAUAAUUUUGUCCAUAAUUAUAUGUAUAUUAUCUAAUUUUUAGAAAUAAGCAUCAUUAAUAUAAAUAUUUUGAAUAAAAUGAGAGAAGUAAGCUAGAAAUAUAGGGUUAAGUAUACUUAUGUUUGGUUAUCUUCAGAUAUCCAUUCGGAUUUGGAUAUUUCCCGUAUGGAUUCAAAUAUUACCCGAACUAGUUAAAUAAGUAAUUUUUUUUGUUGUUCUAGAAUUAGAUGAUAUUUAGACCGAGUUGGUGAAUAUAUACUAGACAGACAUUUAUAUUUCGAGUCCGCAUUUAUAUAUUCUAUAACAGCUUGAUAUAUUACACUACAAGAAAAAAUGACCUUACCGACUACAGUAUUAGGUAAUAUUAGUUAAAGAUAGUCCACUAUAUCUCUCUUCUACCAAAGAUACUAGCAUUAUUAAAAAUAAAUUAUUCAACUCUUAUUUAUCAAUGGAUACACAUUAUUAUUUCAUAGGAAUGAGAAAUGUAUAAAACUUCUUGAGUGUUCCUCAACUAGUUUGCCUAUUGAACCUAGCCAUGGGAUCUCCAAUGUUGCUAGGUUAGGUUUCCAUCAAGUGAUGACUCAUUGUGUUGGCUUGAGACCCAUUCCCCUCGAAAUGAAUACAACUUGCUUUUUAGGUAGACCUUUAGUCAAAGGAUCAACUAAUUUUUCCUUUGAUCUAAUGUAAUCCAAUGCUAUCACCCCAUUAGAAAGCAAUUGUCAUGCAUGAGUACGUUUUAUACGUCUUGACUUGCCAUUGUAACUUUUUCUUUCUCGUAAUGAAAUUGAGUAAGUGAAUAUCAUACCAUCUGACUCUUGUUUAACUCUAAUUCCAAGAACUAUAACAGCCAAUCUCAUAUCUUUCAUGAAUAAUGACUUAGAAUUUCUUCCACUUGUUUCACCAUAAAGUUUAAGAACUUUUGCACAGUCAACGUCUUAACGCUUGCAACUUCAGACUUGUAUUUCUUCUUUAAUGAUUCCCACAACUGAUUUGAAGUUUGGAAUAUAUGAUAAACAUCAUAGAGAGAAUCGUUCAAAGUGUUAAGAAUAUAGUUUGUGCACAAAAACUCUUUUUGUGUCCAUAUCUCUGAUGAUUUAAAUAUUUCAUCAGGAAUAUCAUCUUCUACAGGUGACUCUGGUCCUUCAAAAGUCAAACACUGUCCAAGAUUCAGUGUAGUGAGAUAACACAACAUCUUCUGUUGCCAUCUUUUGAAAUUCACUCUUUGGAAUACAAAAGGGUUCUCUAUAUGACUUUUCACAAUUGCAUUAUGAUUGAUCCAUCUUGCUUUCUUUGAAAAGAACAAGGAAAAAAAUAUAUCUUAGAUUGUUAUUCCAAAGUACAAAUGCAAAUCAAUCAUACGUAUGCUUCACACUUGUAGAUCAUUUAUAAACCCUUAUAAAUAUUACUAGAUUUCUAAACCAUUGUAAAUAGUUACAGGAUAUUUAUCUUUCUCCCAUUAUCAUUUCACUGAUUGUAGUUUGAUAGAGGCUUGCUUGCGCAAUCUUGUAAGACAGAAUUUCGCCCCUACAAUGGUGUGGUGUAGUUUCAUAGGCGUCUAUCUUGAGGUUACAGCUAUCAAUUUCCGUACAACACACACAUACCGAGAUCCUAGCAAACUAUGUAAAGUGGGCCUCAACUUUAAUACUUCAAGCCCUUUCCCAGCCCAGCAAUGAAACCUGCACAAAACCAAAGGAACGUUAGUUUCCUUUUGUCAAGAAUGUCGGCCAAUAUUUUCCCAAAGACAAUAGGAAAAUAUACAAAGCUACAGAGGACAAGGAAUACGUGAUCCAGUAUAUAAGAAGGCCAUAGGUGAAGGUUACGAUCAUCCGAUACAAAGCAAAUAACAAAGGCAUAGAGAGAGAUCAAGAGCAUAGCAAAUAAGUUCUUAGAGUUCUUAGUUUGGUUAUCACACUUGUGAUCUCUAUUAUUGUUAUUGUGAAACUUCUUUAAGAUAUUAAAUAAGAAUACGUUUGAUUCAUAAAGUUAUUCCAAAGCACAAGUAGGAUUGAAUUCCUAACAAGUGGUAUCAGAGCAAUCCAGGUUAGAUUGCAGGUGCUUAAGGGAUGGGAAAAACUAGGAUCGAAAUUGAUAGGUUCGAAGGAACCGGAGAUUUCUCGCUGUGGAAAGUUCGUAUGAUGGCUCACUUUGGAGUCCUAGGGCUAAAGGACAUUCUAACUGAUGAGACCCUUCUGUUGGAUCCGCCAAAAGAGGAAGCAGAAGGAGAUACGAAAGUCACAGGAGAUGGAACUACGGAAUCAAGCUCAAAGAUUGAUCCCGCUAAACUUGAAAAGUCGGAGAAGGCCAAAGACCUCAUCAUAGUCAACGUAGGUAACCAAGUUCUACGGAAGAUCAGCCAUUGUGAAACCGCUGCUGCUAUGUGGACCGCAUUAAACACGCUGUACACAGAAACCUCUUUGCCGAAUCGUAUCUACUUACAACAUAAGUUCUACACGUUCAAGAUGAAUGAUUCUAAGGACAUAGAUGCAAACGUUGAUGAUUUUCUAAAGUUAGUAGCAGACCUAAGUAACUUGAACGUGGAUGUCUCAGAAGAAGUUCAAGCUAUCCUGUUACUAAACUCAAUGCCGCGUAUGUAUGAUCAUCUUAAGGAAACUCUCAAAUAUGGCAGAGAUACUCUCAAGAUCAAUGAAGUAACAGGUGCCGCAAGGUCAAAGGAACGAGAGUUACUUGAAAGUGGAAAGCUUUCAAAAUCACAAGAUGAAGGACUAUACGUGGAAGACAGGGGAAGAUCAUCUAAUAAAGGAGGAAACCGAAACGGUAAAGGCAGAUCUAAAAGCAGGCACGGGCGAUCUAAAUCAAAGCCAAGAUACGAUAAGAACAACAAAGGAUGCUGGACAUGCGGGAAGGAAGGACAUUGGAAGCGGGAAUGUCCUGAAAAGAAAACGCAUAGAGCUGCUAAUGUAGCUGAAGAGCCUAAGCAGCCUUUUGUACUAACAGUUAGUACACACGACGCCGGUUCAGAAUGGGUCAUGGAUUCUGGUUGUUCUUUCCAUAUGACACCCAACAAAGACGUUCUAUUUGACCUUGUCGAAUUUCAAAGAGGCAAAGUUUUGAUGGCAAACAACACUCACUGCGACGUCAAAGGGAUUGGCAAGAUAAGGAUCGUGAGACCCGACGGAACCGUGGUUAUUCUUACAGAUGUAAGAUAUAUGCCUAAUAUGAGCAGGAAUCUAAUAUCCUACGGGAUGCUAGAACGAGCAGGUUGCAAAUACGAAGGAGAAAACUUCAUGAUACGUUUCUUCAAAGAUGGGAAAGAGAUUUUAUCCGGUAAGUACCAUGAAGGAUUGUAUUACUUGCAAGGAACAGUUAUGAAAGGGGAGGCUAAUGUGACACGAGCAGACGUGGACAUGACGAAGAUUUGGCACUCCCGGCUAGGGCACAUGAGUUUAAAGAACUUAAAUGUGCUUGUAAAGGAAGGAUACCUGUCUAACAAAGAAGUCGAUAAAUUGGAGUUCUGUGAGACUUGCGUUCUGGGAAAGUCUCACAAGCAAAGCUUCUCUGCGGCCAAGCACACUUAGAAAGAGGUCUUGGAAUACAUACACUCUGAUUUAUGGGGUGCACCGUCUACUCCGGAUAGUCUAGGAGGGUGCAAGUAUUUUAUAAGCUUCAUAGAUGACUAUUCUCGUAAGGUUUGGAUUUACUUCCUAAAAUCCAAAGAUGAGGCGUUUAGCAAGUUUAAAGAAUGGAAGGAAGCCGUGGAAAAUCAGAUCGGGAAGAAAAUCAAGUGUCUUAGAACGGAUAAUGGAUUAGAGUUUUGCAAUAAACAGUUUGACAAACUUUGCAAAGACUCAGGUAUCAAAAGGCACAAGACUUGUCAUUACACACCGCAACAAAACGGUGUGUCUGAAAGGAUGAAUAGGACGAUCAUGGAAAAAGUUAGGUGUAUGCUUGCAGAAGCAGGAUUGGGUCAAGACUUCUGGGCAGAAGCUGCAUCAACGGCUGUCUACAUUAUAAAUCGAUCCCCUAGCUCAGCCAUAGACUACAGACUUCCUGAAGAGAUGUGGACAGGAAAGAAACCUGAGUUGAACCAUCUGAGGCUAUUUGGCUGCUCAGCGUAUGUCCACACGAUCCAAGAGAAAACAAGUCCAAGAGCGUUAAAAGGCAUUUUCAUGGGAUAUCCAUUUGGAGUUAAAGGAUACCGUGUUUGGUUACCCGAGGAAGGCAAAUGCGUUACAAGUAGGAACGUGGUGUUUAAUGAAGAAGAUUUAUCUAAACACUCGGAAACUAAAGAGGAACAGAAAGAAAGUAAGAAAGAGAUCAGAAGAGUUACUUUCAGAGAACCUCUAAUCGAAGGGCCUAGUUCCGCAGAUGUAGAGAAGUCACCUGUUCAAGGUGGAGUUUCUGAAACUGAAGAAUCAGAAAAUUCAGAAGAAACCAGUUCUGAAGAAGUAGAUGAAAACACAGAAGUAGAAGAAACCGAAAUCGAAAGAUAUAUGCUCGCACGAGACAGAGUGCGAAGACAAAUCAGACCUCCUUCUAGGUAUGAAGAUACUGAUUUCGCAGCUUAUGCUUUAGCCGCAUCUGAAGAGAUAGAAAUCGACGAGCCAAAGUCAUUUAAAGAAGCUAUGAUGAGCAAGAAAAGCAAGUUUUGGAAGAACGCUGCCGGAGAUGAGAUGGACUCUCUUCAAAGAGCUGGCACAUGGAUACUGAUUGAAAAACCCGAGAAUGCAAAAGUUAUAGGCAGCAAAUGGAUCUUCAAGUUAAAGCCUGGAAUACCCGGAGUUGAAGAACCGAGGUAUAAAGGCAGAUUGGUGGCUCAGGGAUUUUCUCAAAAGGAGGGGAUCGACUACAAUGAAGUGUUUUCACCUGUAGUGAAGCAUGUGUCGAUCAGAUUGAUGUUAUCUCUCGUGGUUAAUAAAGAUUAUGAGCUAGAGCAGAUGGACGUUAAAACAGCUUUUCUUCAUGGAGAUUUGGAAGAAAGAAUCUUAAUGAAUCAGCCAGAAGGAUUCAUAAAGAAAGGAGAUGAAAAUAAAGUCUGUUUACUAAAGAAGUCUUUGUAUGGAUUGAAACAAUCUCCAAGGCAAUGGAAUCUCAAGUUUGAUUGUUUCAUGAAGAGCCAGCGGUUUGUAAGAAGCAAGGAAGAUUCUUGUGUUUACAUGAGAAACGUGAACACAGAACAAGCCGUGUACUUACUUUUAUACGUCGACGACAUGCUCAUAGCUUCGGGAGAUGAACAAGAAAUCAGAAGCGUCAAAGAGAGUUUAAGCAAAGAGUUUGAGAUGAAAGAUUUGGGAAAAGCUUCAAGAAUAUUAGGAAUGGACAUCAUAAGAGACAGAAAGAAAGGAAUUUUAAAACUGUCUCAAGAGAACUAUUUAGAGAAGGUUCUGAAAUCAUUCAAUAUGACUGAAGCCAAGGCUGUGAAUACGCCUACCUCAACUCAAUUUAAACUGAAGAGUCUUACGAAAGAUCAAAAAGAAGAAGAAGGAAGCUUCAUGGCAGACAUACCAUACGCAAGCGUGGUUGGUAGUAUAAUGUACGCCAUGGUCGGUUCAAGACCUGACUUAGGCUAUGCAGUUGGACUCAUUAGCCGUUUCAUGUCAGAACCGGGAAGAGAGCAUUGGCUAGCAGCAAAAUGGGUUUUACGAUAUCUUAAGGGUGCUACAAAAAGGUGUCUAACGUUUACUAAGCACUCAGAGUUUAGUAUUCAAGGAUUUUGUGACUCGGAUUAUGCUACUGACCUUGACCGAAGAAGAUCAGUUACAGGAUUCGUGUUUCAAGUUUGGGGAAACACGGUUAGCUGGAAAUCAAGUCUACAAGACGUGGUAGCUCUUUCAACGACUGAAGCAGAGUACAUGGCUCUUACUACAGCCGCGAAAGAAGCUAUAUGGUUAAGAAGGCUAUGUGGGGAGAUGGGAUUUGAACAAGAAAGUGUUAAGAUUCACUGCGAUUCACAAAGUGCUAUAGCCCUAGCAAAGAAUCAUGUUCAUCACGAAAGAACUAAACACAUAGACACUAAAUACCACUUCAUAAGAGACGUUGUAGCAGAAGGCAAGGUUCACCUAUCUAAGAUCCAUACUAGCAAGAUUCCUGCAGAUUUUCUAACUAAAGCCUUACCCGGGCCUAAGUUUGAUCUCUGCUGUGAUCUCCUCAACAUCAACGAGUAAAAACUCAAGAACGUCGCAGGUAACUCCAUUAUCGAAGAUGUCUCGCAAAAGGAAGAAAUAAUGAGUUAAUAACUCCGGAUUAUUUCUUAAGCGAUAAUGGGAAGGUUUAGGAGUAGCAAAAGAUUACCUGCAGGGACGUUGUGGAAGCGAGGCACAUGGUACUUAGCUCAAGGUGGAGAAGCUAAGGGAAAUCAAACAGAGUUAGUAAAGGAUGAUUGAAGUCGAUGAAUAAAAGUAGACUUCGGAAAAAGAUAUACCUGAGAGAACGUCUUAAACGGCUGUGGCAGCUGAAGGGAGACGAGUAUCUACAUUGGCAAAAGAUAACACAGAUCACCAGACAAGAUAAUCAUGUCUUAAACAGCUUAAAGUAAAGUAAGAGACUUUACAGAGAAGCUGAAGGGAGACAGGUUUAUUGAUAGAACGGAGGAAGCUCUAGAGAGUCGCCGGUUACGUUCUAAGGAGUAUACGUGAUGUGUUUGAUCACUGAAGUUCUAGCUGUGACAUUAAAGAGGAGGUUAAUACAUGAAACUCAAGUGAAUCUAAUUGGAGAGAGGAUCCAAGGAAGAUUAAUCAACUAUCAUCACCAAGAAGAAAUUCGAGAUUCAAAAUCAUCAAGGAAAAAGAAUUCGCGAGCUUUUUCAGAUGAAGAAUCUUACCGGGUGAUGCUUAGAUGGUGGGAGUUUUCUGAAGAUCGAGCUGAAGAUCUGGGGAAAAAUCGAUCUACCGGCAAGGAGUCGAAGCGAGAGAGAGUGGUGAGGCUGUAGCAGCGUACGAGCUACACCGAUUCAUCGGAAAAAUGACAGGAGAAGUCACCGGUGUGUGACGCCAUCAACGUCGCGAGAUUUGUCGGGAGAAGGAGUAGAAAUUUUUUUUGGUCUUCUGGUUUCUUCGAUGGAAUCGAAGAGGAAGACAAGGAAGAAUUAAAAUUGGGCCAGGUGGAGUUUGUAAAGUGGGCCUCAACUUUAAUACUUCAAGCCCUUUCCCAGCCCAGCAAUGAAACCUGCACAAAACCAAAGGAACGUUAGUUUCCUUUUGUCAAGAAUGUCGGCCAAUAUUUUCCCAAAGACAAUAGGAAAAUAUACAAAGCUACAGAGGACAAGGAAUACGUGAUCCAGUAUAUAAGAAGGCCAUAGGUAAAGGUUACGAUCAUCCGAUACAAAGCAAAUAACAAAGACAUAGAGAGAGAUCAAGAGCAUAGCAAAUAAGUUCUUAGAGUUCUUAGUUUGGUUAUCACACUUGUGAUCUCUAUUAUUGUUAUUGUGAAACUUCUUUAAGAUAUUAAAUAAGAAUACGUUUGAUUCAUAAAGUUAUUCCAAAGCACAAGUAGGAUUGAAUUCCUAAGAAACUAUACUCUGAAUUUUUCUUCAGAAACUUGUUAUGGGGAAGAAGAAGAAGAUUAAAUCCAAUUGAAUAAUCUUCUCUCUUCUCUCUUCUUAUUCCUUUCCUCUCGUAUUGCAUUUGAUCCCUUUAUAUAUUGACUCAAGUGGUGCCUUUAGUCAACCCAUGCCCUAACUCAAGCGGUGCCUUUUAAUCAAGGCAUAUGUUGAUUUUUGUCUGAAGCGUUAGGUUCCUUUAAUUAAUUAAAGUCCAACAGUAGAUAGAUCAGCUUUGUUACCAACCAAACCAUAACAAUAUCUUGAGCUCCCUGCUUUUGCAGUUCCUAUUAGAUUUAAAUGGUAAAAUCCAAUGAUUCAGUCAUUUAAAUCAUAUGGGUCCAAGAAAUCACAUAGUUUUAUACUCUGAUACGGUUAUAUAGUUCAGAAGCUAUUGCUUGAAUUCCCAAAACCAUUUAGGAAACGGAGCCACUUGAAAACAUAUCUUAACCAAAUACUGAGCUUUCUUAAAAGAUUCAGGGCUUGUUAUAUCAUACACAAUGACAGCAACUGCAGCUCCACGGUAAUAUAAUGGCGCAAGUGCAGAGUACCUGAGAAAUCUAGUUAACGCAUAUUUAGCUUUAACGCGAGCAUGCAAGGCGUUGAUUUAAUUAACUAACACAAAUCUACAUAUAUUUGGUAAUAAUAUAUUUCAAAGUGUUUGAUAAAAUAAUAAAUUUAAUUGACAUUAUAUCAUUCUCGUAGUUUGGAUCAGCAUCUCAGCUUACGUCUGAAUAAAAAUCAACUUCUGGAACAUAUAAUGGAGCAAAAGAAUUGUCCAUAGCAGAUAAAGGGCAAGUUCAUCUCUCCCUGAUCAUGCUUAUAUAACAACAACAUAAUUGACAUUUUAUACAUAUUAAUUCAAAUUUUCAAUUGAAUAUACUGUUCUCAUUGAGUUUCCACUUCCUCUCUUUUUUCGUAUCAGUUUAAAAGUUUUUUUUUCGUUUAACUAUUGUCAUCAAAAUAAAAAUCAAAAAUGUCUUAGACAACUUAAAAAGAUGAUGAAGAAGAAAAGAGGUUAUCUCUAAUCUCAUAGGUAAAAUGGAAUAUCAAGUCCAAAUAAACCACAAACGGUUUCACAUUCCGGAUGCUUUUAUCACCAAUAAGCGAGUCCAAAACAUAUAUGGUCCAUAACUUCAUAUGAACAAUAACAAUAGAGACUAUAGAGUGGAUCCCAAAGUGAUCUGGACAUGGACGUAUGUGUACACUGUCUCAACAUCUCUUAACAUUUAAUUUUCAUAAUGAUUUCCAACUAUUGACAAAAUGAAAACCAUUAAAACCUUUGCCUUUUAAAAAAAAACAUGUCUUAUAUAAUUUAUAUAUAUAUAUAUAUAGAGCUAGAUGAUAAGAUAUAUUUAAAUAAAUAAUCAUUAGAUAUAAUAUAAUAUAAUUAAAAUUAUUUUUAAAUAAAAUGCAGUUUUAACUUUAUUAAAGUCUAAAUAAAAUCAAACUAGAAUAGUUAAACCAAAUCAAAAUAAAUAAGACUAGCAAACGUUUAUGUUUUUUUUUUCAAACCGUUGAAAUUAAAAUAUAAAAAAUAAUGUUCAAAUAUAAAUUUAAUUUUUCUUUUCAAAUAUUGAAAUUUAUAUUUAAAAUUAUUAUUUAUGUGCAUGAUGCAUGAAAACUCAUGGUUUAUUAUAAGCAUAAAAACAUAACUUAUUUGUUUUUAAGUGUUUCCUUACAUCUUAUUUUUCAGUCUUCCUAACUACUUCAUUAAUUUUUUUAAUAUAAUAAUUCGACACUAUUUGUAACAAUUUCACAGAUUUUUGUGAAAUUGCUUCAUUUGUAACAAAAAAAUCUAAACCGGUUAACAUAAAAAAAUUUAUAUAUAUUUACAGAGUCAGUUAAACAUGGCAUUCAAGUAUCCAUUUGAGUAUGUAUCGUUUGUUGGAUAUUAGAUUUUUUGGAUUUUAAAAUUAAACUCCAUUCGGACAUUAUAAAUUGUCGGAUGGGAUUCGAGUCGGAUUCUUCUGGAUCGGAAAAAAUUCGUACGAACCUAAAAAUAUCCAAAUAACUUAUAUGUUUAAAAAUGUCAUUAAAUAAUUUAGAAAAAAAAUACUAAAAAUCAUAACCCAUGCGGGUGUGCAAAUAUGUUAUUACAUAUGGGAUAGUCCAUAUCAUUGCUUCAUUUGAAUUCGCUUCCAGUUUCCACUUUCCAGGAUUCAUAUGUUCUCGACCUCAAAUGUUUGAUAUAAUAUACAUGUCACUUAAACAGAGCGAAAGAUCGCUUAAACAUUACAAAAAGUCCUCUCUAAAAUAGCAGUACAUAAAAGUAUGGAAAAGAUUAGUCAGGAAAAGAUGAAAAAGAUUAGUCAGGAAAAGGGUAAUGCUUUACUUUGAAGGUAAUCCAAACGCUCCAAUCUUGACAAAAGAGAAGAGGUAGCAUCUUUGCCAAUUUCAUAUAUUCAGACAAGAAUGAAACAUAUUCUAACAAAAGUGGUGUUCAGAGAGUGAUCAUAAGGGGGGGGGGGGGGGGGGGGGGGGGGGGGGGGGGGGGGGGGGGGGGGGGGGGGGGGGGGGGGGGGGGGAGUAGCGGGGCAUGGAGAUCUCAACUUCUAAAUUUAAGAUGCUAUAACAAACUGAGUAGAGGAAGCCAUGGCUGCUGAGAUGAACACAAGUAAAUAAAUCAUAGGAAUGGUUACCUGUCUUUGUGAAUUUGAAAUAAAAUUAAUUCUUGAUUAUAUUGCAUAGAAGAGGUGAGAUUAUUCAUUGACUAUAUAUAGUCUUGUUUGAAAGAACAUGUAAAUGGACAGGCACGGUCCUCAUUCUUAAUUCUUUAUGAUAUUUUGCAGAUAGAAGAGUGAGCAAAAAUGACAACAUUUUUAUUGACUAAUGUUUUUCAAAGAGCAACAUGAAAGCAGAAACGAAAAUGUAAACGGUCUAACACACAUAACCUGGUCCUCACAUGAUUUGCGCAGAAGUUGGAACAUAAGAGGCCACAAAUGGCUCAAGCUGUAUGUAUAUACAUUUUCUAAGAUCCUUUUUUUGCGAUCAAUAGCAAUCUGAUGGAUAAAGAGAUCUUUGGUGUCGUCUCAGAUAUCAAAAGUCUCUCAGAUUUGUUUAUCUCUAUCUCCUACUCUCAAUCUGAUAACUGGGAUGCCGAUCGGUUGGCGAAGAAGGUCCUGCGCGAUCCUACCUCUGCUUCUAUUUUUAUUAGGAACCGGGCCUCAGAUUCUAAUAUAGGCUUUGUAAUAGGCUAAACCCUUUUUAAGUUUUAAUGAAAUUAAGUUGAUAAAAAAAAAAACCAUUAUCUCCAACGAUGCAAGUUCUAAACAUUCUCUUGCGUCCACCAAAAACCACAACCAUGUUCUCCUCCUCCACAAUGUAGAAACUACCAGAACCGAUAUACUUACCUACUGAAUUCAUAUCAACCUUGAGGAAGUUUGUCCAAAAAACAGCAUCUGGCUCAAUUUUAUUGGUAACCAAAACCUCCAUCUUAUACGUAUCGGACCGGUUUACUAACAGCCCAAGCUGCUCUUCUCUAACCGUAGACAGAGACACACCAUGCACAAUACUAGGGUCAACUGGCAGAGGCAGACGCGGUCCAAACCUCUCUCUUUUAAAAUCAAAACACCAUAAGAAACCAUGUGAUUCCUGAUCUCUAGCAUACGAGUAAUAAUCUCCCUUCAAAGACACACCAAAGAUACCUAAAACACACCAAAGCUAUCUAAAGUCUCAUCAGGAACAUCAGUUACCCUCCAUGAGUUUGAGUUAGAAUCGUAUAUUACGAAUUAUCGUAUUGAUUAUAAGUAUAGCAAAACAUCAAGAUUUUGAAGCUACCACAAGAGGAAUUGUCGUAUCCAAACGCAAUCUGAUCUUCUUCAAAUCGGCCACUAGGCCACUUGAUCCAUCUUCUUUUACACAAAUACGGAUUCCAAACCACAAACAUAUUGCGUAUGUCUCUCAAUACACAUAGUAUUAAACCAUUGCACUGAUAGAUCCUUAUAGAUAUUACUUCACCUGAAUUUUCUCGAGUGAUAAGUGUACGCUUUGCUUCACGGAUAGAUCAAACUUGUUGACGUGAGUUUUGUAAAGGUUGACGUUGAUCAAAUAAACCCUAUGAUCUCUCGUGAUCAUAAGAAACUCUUUUCCCCUUGAUGUUUUGCUUAUGUGUUUAUCUCUAAAGCUCUAUCUUUGGAUAAAGCGUUCUACUUUUUGCAAGUAGAUCGUACUGCUCCUAUAGAUUUCAGUGGAACCCUAGAAAGAAUCUCCUCCACCAAAUCAAUUGGAAGUUUUGAUAUCAUCAUGUCGUUGUUUCAACUAACUUCAGGAUCAAUGUUCACACCGAUAAGAACUAGGUUAACCUUCAAAACUAUUUUGUGGUUGGUGAGUUCACGAGAGAGAGAAGCUGUCGAUAGAUUGACAUUGAAGAGUAAACACAGAAACCCUAACUUUAAGGUUUAAAACGGUGGAGCAUCAGUCACGUUUUGUAAUUUAUUGUUACUGGGCCAUUCUUUUUAUAAGCCCAUUAUAGAUGUCACAGAGUUAAGACCCAGUUUUUGUAACAUUGUAUCAUCUUAGCUUCUCCUCUUAUGUAACCACAUAAUCCUUACUAAUAAAAUGGACCUUUUGAGGCUCCAUAGAGUGUCCACAUCAGCGAAAAAAAUUCUCCCGAAAGAUGACACGUGGCAUAAAAUAUAGUUUUACAUUUUAAUAUUACUAAUUUUCAAAAAUUAUAAAUAAUAUGAAACAUACAACAUAAAAAAUAGAAAAACUACAUUGAACAUAUGUAAAAUUACCAUUUUUCACUUUAAAAAAAACGGCUUAAUUCCAUAAUGUAAUAUUACCAAUAAAAGGGACCUUUUGAGGCUCCAUAGAGCGUCCAUAUCAGCGAAAAAAAAUUCUCCCGAAAGAUGACACGUGGCAUAAAAUAUAGUUUUACAUUUUAAUAUUACUAAUUUUCAAAAAUUAUAAAUAAUAUGAAACAUACAACAUCAAAAAUAGAAAAACUACAUUGAACAUAUGUAAAAUUACCAUUUUUCACUUUAAAAAAAAAGACGGUUGAGGCUCCAUAGAGCGUCCACAUCAGCGAAAAAAAUUCUCCCGAAAGAUGACACGUGGCAUAAAAUAUAGUUUUACAUUUUAAUAUUACUAAUUUUCAAAAAUUAUAAAUAAUAUGAAACAUACAACAUAAAAAAUAGAAAAACUACAUUGAACAUAUGUAAAAUUACCAUUUUUCACUUUAAAAAAAAAAGACGGCUAAAUUCCAUAAUGUAAUAUGACCAAUAAAAGGGACCUUUUGAGGCUCCAUAGAGCGUCCAUAUCAGCGAAAAAAAAUUCUCCCGAAAGAUGACACGUGGCAUAAAAUAUAGUUUUACAUUUUAAUAUUACUAAUUUUCAAAAAUUAUAAAUAAUAUGAAACAUACAACAUAAAAAAUAGAAAAACUACAUUGAACAUAUGUAAAAGAGAAAAAGACUAGGAUAGCACUAAACCAACUUUUUGUUCCCAAAGUAGCACUCAAGGCUCAAAGUCACAAAAAUAGGUUUCAUUAAAGAGGUAAAUAUACACUUAUACCCCUUGGGUUAAUUAAUCCAAACCUUAGGGUUUAGAGUUAAGGGGUGAGGUUUUGGAAUUAGGGUUUAAAAUUUUAUAAAAAAUAAAUACUAAAAUAAAAAAUAAAAAUUUUAAAAACAGUUUCAAAAAGUAUUUUUAAAUUAUAAAAAGAAAAUUUGAAAAAAAAAAUAAAAAAAAAUUUCGAAAAAAAAAAUUUCAAAAUUUUUUUAUAAAAUUUCGAAUCUGAAAACAUAUAAUCUGAAACUAUAAAAAAAUUCUUUUUUAAUUUUUUUAAUUUUUAUUUAUUUUUAUUUUUUUUAUUUUUGUUGAUUUAUUUAAUUUUAAAUCAAGGGUAUUAGAGAUAUUUUACCCUUUAAUGAAUGUCAUUUUUGUGACUUUCUCCUUCUAGUGCUAUUUUUGAGACAUAAACUUUAAAAGGUGCUAUUAUUGACAAUUGCCCUAUGUAAAAUUACCAUUUUUCACUUUAAAAAAAAAGACGGCUUAAUUCCAUAAUGUAAUACUGCAUAAAAUAUAGUUUUACAUUUUAAUAUUACUAAUUUUCAAAAAUUAUAAAUAAUAUGAAACAUACAACAUAAAAAAUAGAAAAACUACAUUGAACAUAUGUAAAAUUACCAUUUUUCACUUAAAAAAAAGACGGCUUAAUUCCAUAAUGUAAUAUUACCAAUAAAAGGGACCUUUUGAGGUUCCAUAGAGCGUCCAUAUCAGCGAAAAAAAUUCUCCCGAAAGAUGACACGUAGCAUAAAAUAUAGUUUUACAUUUUAAUAUUACCAAUUUUCAAAAAUUAUAAAUAAUAUGAAACAUACAACAUAAAAAAUAGAAAAACUACAUUGAACAUAUGUAAAAUUACCAUUUUUCACUUUAAAAAAAAAGACGGCUUAAUUCCAUAAUGUAAUACUACCGUUUUAUAAAAAAAACAAAAAACAUUAUAUAUAAUUUCGAAAAUAAUAAAUAUAUGUAAACAUACAACAUAAAAAAUAGAAAUACUACAUUAAAUAUAGAGUAAUUGGCGUAGAUACACCCAUGAACUCAUGUAAUUUGCUAUAUAACCUUGAGGCUCCAUAGAGCGUCCACAUAAGCAAAAAAAACUUCUUCCGAAAGAUGACACGUGGCAUAAAAUAUAGUUUUACAUUUUAAUAUUACUAAUUUUUUAAAAUUAUAAAUAAUGUUUAAACAUACAGCAUAAAAAAUGAAAAAACUACAUUAAACAUACGGCUUAUCUCCAUAACGUAACAUUACCGUUUUAUAAAAAAAUUCAAAAAACAUUAUAUAUAAUUUCGAAAAUAAUAAAUAUAUGUAAACAUACAACAUAAAAAUGGAAAUACUACAUUAAACAUAUGUAGAAUUACUAUUUUACAUUUUUAAAAAUAAUAUGUAAACAUACAACAUAAAAAAUGGAAAAACAACAUUAAACAUAUGUAAGAUUAACAUUUUUCACAAAAAAAAAACGGUUUAUCUCCAUAAUGUAACAUUACCAUUUUAAAAAAAAGAAAAAAAACAUAAAUAUAACUAUUUGACAAUUUGUCCAGUUCUUCUAUUAAACAUUGCCGUUUUACAUUAAAAUGGAAAAAUACAUUAAAAUUUAAACAUAUAUCUUAAAAUAUAAAAUAUAGAUAUUAACAAAAUAUAAAAUAUAAGAAAGAGAAAUACAAAAUAUAUAGAAAAAUAAAUAAUAAGUAAAUAUUAUAAAUAUAUAAAUAUAUGAAUUAUAUAUACAAUAAUAAGUAAUUGCACAGUUUUCAAAAAAAUGGAAAGAGUACAUUAAAUAAAAUGGACAUCUAUCUUAAAAUGGUAGUAAAUUAUGUAAAAAUGAAAAUACCACAUUAAACAAAAAAAAUAUAGUUUUACAUCAAGAAAGUCUCUAUAAAACUCAUUAUUCUAUCAACAUCAACCUCACACUAUCAAAAAAACUUCAUAGCACUCGAGCAAAAAAAAUGGUUCCACCAUCAAAUCUUGCCGUCCCAAAAACCUUUAAUGACCUUGAAGGAGAUUUUUUAUAACAACAAACUUUUUGUUAGGUGGAUUCAUUGUUGGAAAACCCGCAACUUCCAAAAGCCAAACUUAUUCAUGGGAAUUGAAUUGCUUUUCUUAGACUCAAAGAUAUUCUUACAAAUUUAAAUUAAUCUAAUCCAUAAUUUUAUUGUUAAUAUUCAUACUAACUCUUUCAUGAUCAAACCAUUACAGUUAAUAACCAUUCAAGCGUUUAUCCCGAAACACUUCCUUCCUCGCCGAAUCAGGUAUUGGUUCAUGUUGGUUUAGUAUUAUUUUUGGUUUAUUAACCGGUUUAGGAUGGUCCUAUUGUAAAUAUAAUUUAAGAUGGUUUAGCAUAUAUUAUGCUUAAAAUAACUUAAAUUAAAUAAUAGUAAUAUUAUGCUUAAAAUAUAAUUUUAGAGAGUUUUUAAAUAUAGUUUACAGCACAUUAUAGGGAAUGAAUUUUAUUUAUUAAAUUUAUUUAUUACUUAAAACUAAGUUUUUUAAAAAACAUACUGAGUUAUAAAUAUCAAUUAUGGAUUGGUGAGUAUAACAUGAAGACAAAACUAUAAAUAUUUUAUUUUCAAGAUAAGAAAUUCAGCUUUUAUUCAGUUACUCAAUAUAUAAUAUCUUAAAUUAUUUUUUUUUAAAUAUACAUAAAUUUAUAUAUAUAGAUUAAUCUUCCAAACUUAAACUAUUAUAUUAUAUAUGAAUGAUGUUUUUAAAUAAAAAUAAUUUCUGAUUAAAAACAAAAAUAAAAACAACAAAUGGUUAUUUUCAAAUAAUGGAAGUAAUUUACAUUAUACUAUCAUUUAACAAGUAUUAGAUAUGUUUUGAUAUAUCAUUAUUUUCUAUAUCCAGAAAACAAUAAAUUGUUAAACAUCAAUAUCAUCUAGGUUAAGUAUACGAACAACACAAAUUCAAACAUCAAAAAAUAUUUACAUAAACAUUAUAAUACAAUAAUUUAAUCAAAAAAUACAAUUCAAAAAAAAAAUAUUCAAAAGAAUAGUUAUAUACUUAAUAUUUGAAAAUCAAAGAUAUUUUUGCUAAAAUUGUACUUACCUGGCCAAGGAGAUCGACCAUUUUUUACGGAUGGAUCGAUUGUUGAGCAUGUGGUCGAUCCGAAAAUACUCUACAGAUUAACUAAAUAUCUAAAACAUUUAUUUCAACACUCAACGGAUAGUUUUGCUAAAUAUGAUAACUAGAUAGCCAACAAAAUUACAAAAAAGAUAUUUAAAUAGUAAAAAAUAUGUUAAUUUAACGUGUUAAAAUUUAAAAAUAAAUUUUAAUUAUGACAUGCAUCUUAACAUUUAUAUAAAUAUAUAUAUCAUACCUUAAAUAUAAAUAAUUUAACAACUUAAAUUAGAAAAAUAAUAAAAAUCCCGGGCGUAGCCCGGGUUAAUCCCUAGUAUCAUUAAUACUUCCUCUCUCUCUUAAAUAUAUAGUCUCAUCAGACUUCUCAAACACACAUACUAUGAACUGAGAUUAAAAAAAUUCACGUGAUCGGUUUAUUAUGACUCGUAAGAUAUAUAUGAAUAGGAUGUUCAGUGAUGAGAAACAAAGUGAAGGUGGUCUAGCUGUUUUACUCGUUUCGUUAUAAGAGUGAGAGGUGGUAGGAAAGAGAAACAUAAAAGAAACGAGGAUAUUUCAAGUAGUGUUGAGCCAAUGAUGAAUUCUCUUUAGGUAUGAGAAUUCUCUAUAGAUAGCUGCAGGGUCGACCAUGCUAGGUGAAACAUUCGCAACAGGCCCCUAAAGUUUUUGAAAAUAAUUACAUACAAAUAGGUUUCAAAAAAAAAAUUUAGGCCCUAAAUUUAUAAAGAAAGUUUUUUUACAUAUACAUAGCCACAGCCCCCAAAAUCUCAGAACCUGCCCUGGAUAUCUGGCUGCUACGUUAUCUCUCACAGCUCUUAUUUGAUGAAACACAAUUAUAUAUCUAACGUGAUGAUCCCCAACGUUGCUUAAUUUGGCUUUCCACUUUCCAGGUUCAUUUACUCUCCAAUCUCAAGUCUUCACAUUAUACAACACACUUUAACAGAUUAACACCGUUUAGACAUUACAUGAAAGUAUGGAACGUUUAGUAUAGUCGGGGCAAGAGUGUUUGCAUUUCCCUUACGAUGAUCCAACAUUCCAAAUCAUGAGGAAGGAGAAGGACGAGGUAGCCUCUUGCCAAUUUCCUAUAAGAUAAGACCAAGUGCACAUAUUAAUGCAGGAUGACAAGACAUUUGGUCAAAAAACCUGUGGCCAUAAAGAAAUGCACACCUCAAACAGUUGGUUUAUGUUAUCUGCUGUCUUGGCUGACGUCUCAAUAAAGAACAUGCCAUUCUUCUCUGCAAGCUCCAUGCCAUCCUGUUAAAAGAGCUGAAAAUAUCAUACACGCUGGCUGAAGAAGAAGCAAGAACAGUGUAAGUGGUAACAAAAUGUUCUAUUGAAUCUAGGUUAAUGCAAAAACUCACAUCGGUUAGUACUUCUCUUUUUUCAUGUAGAUCAGCUUUGUUACCAACCAAAGCCAUAACAAUAUCCGGAGCUCCAUGCUUUUGCAGUUCCUGUUAUAGAUUUAAAGGGCAAAGUCCAAUGCUUCAGUCAUUCAAAUCAUAUGAGAGCACCACUUGAAAACAUACCUUAACCCAAUACUGAGCUUUCUUAAACGAUUCAGGGCUUGUUAUAUCAUACACAAUGACAGCAACUGCAGCUCCACGGUAGUAUAGUGGCGCAAGAGCAGAAUACCUAAGAUAAUUCGAGUGUAACAUGUACAUAUUAAGCUAUAACGAACACACACAAAUCUACAUGUGAGGGAGGGUUUUAACACCUCUCUUGCCCUGCUGUAUCCCAUAUUUCAAACUUCACCGUGGUAGAGUCUUGCAAGGCUAUUGUCUGGGACAAGAACGACGCUCCAACAGUCACCUGGAUAGUUUUCAGAUUCAAUGACAGAUAAGAAUAUAACUCUAAUACUCUCACUCACAUGCCACAUAGUAUUACAAGAUAAUAAUGCUUGACUUACUUACCUUAGAUGUUGCAUCAAACUCACCACGCACAAACCGAAGGACAAUACAGCUUUUACCCACGCCAGAAUCUCCUAACAAAACUAACUGCAUUCAACUCAGUCCAAACGUUCUUAAACAAGAGCUUUAAAUUAAACACAAAGGCUCGCACCUUUACGCGUAGAUUCUUAGCAUCUGCAUUCUCUGAGCUGCUAAGACCGUUUAAGGCUCCAGAGUUCCUGUCUGAAACAACACACACACACACAUCAUCUUCAUGAAUCAGCAAAAACCCCUAAAUUAACGCAAAUGAUCCCUAAAUUUCGUGAAGAUUCUAAUUAAACCCCAAAGGUUUCGCCUUUGGUCUCGAGGGUAAGUUAUUUUCUCUCUUAUAAUCGAAGACUAAUGGGAUGAAUUCAACAAAACAGAGAAGCGUGAAAAGAAAGAAGAAAACUUGCCUGGAAGAGAAGCAGCACAUCCCAUAGCGUAUAGAGAUGCGAGAUCGUAUCCAAGUUCUGGGCGUUGAUGCCACCGAAUCGGAGAAGAAGAAGAAGGUCCGGUGAUUUUUGACUUUGCCAACCAUUUUCGAGUAAGGCUCGCUCUUUAUUUAUUUGAAGCCGUAACUAAUUUCUUAUUUUAUAUAUGAUUUUCUUUUAAAUUCAAAAUAUUUAUCUAUAUAUAAUAUAUUUUUUAAAGAGAAUAAAAGCAUCAAGUAACAAAUUUUAUUCGGUAUUCGGUUUGUACCCUGAGGUUAAAAAAAGUAAAUAUUUACUAUCAUCAAAUCAAGUAACUAAUAUUUAAUUUUAAUUAUUUCUAAAUUUUCUUAUAUAUUAAUUGAGAAGUGAUUUUUGAUGACGUAUCACUCGUACAAACAGUUUGAAAACAUUUUUUUUUAUAAUUUCAUUGGUCAAAAUUUUUAAUUUUAUUUAUUUUUAAAUAAUUCUAAAGCUAAUCCUAAAACUAACGUAAUCCUAUUGCCAAACAACUAAAAACAUUAAUCUAAAAUAUAUAUCUUCUCUAUCUCAGUUUCUAUGGUUAACAACUUACGAGAUUUGCUCACCAUACAAUCAGAUGAUGCAAUCACCAUCGACGAAAUAUGGAGGCAAGUUUUUCCAGGUAUUCUUCUUGCCUUACUUCUGCAUCUUGUAGAUUGUAGGUUUCCUUUUAAUCUAUGGCAAGUAGCAAUAAUAGGCUGCCAUGUUCAUUGAUCUCAAUCCUUCUAUUAUGUUUCUCGUACUUACACUUGUAAUUGGGUAUUUGUUAAAAGCAUAAAGGUUAAGGUUGUGCCUUUAAGCUUGGUAUUAUCUUAUAAUAACUUAAUAAGUAUCUUUUUGUAGGUUGUGCUAUUGUAUUCCAAACCAAAGCUUCAUGCAAUAUAUAACAACAAAAGGGUAGUGAGUCUCCAUGACAGUUUAUGGGGAACGUAUGAUCAAGGGUUUGAUGAAGCUGAUUUCUUCACAUGAUUAGAACCAGUUGUUUAAAUAGGGAUAUUUGGACUCCAAAGAUUUCUGUUGAGUACAGUUUACCUACAAAGAUUAAAAUGUUUACAUUUAUUUGUAUGCUUCCUUGGAUACAAAUAUCAAGUGAAGGUAACCAUGGAUCUGACAAUUUAUUACCUGAUGGUUCUUUAUAGUAGUUAUGAGCAAUUCUUAGUUUAUCUUGUUGAGUUUCAUGCCUAGAGUUGUAAUUUUGAUUUCCUAAAUUGAAAUUACAAUCCACGCUAAAUGUAUGGAUGGAAUUCUGAGUAAUGUUACUUUAUGCAUGUGUUUGCUUUAAUAUGAUAUGAGGAUUUAUAUUGGAUCUCUCGCAUCUUUUUGUAGUUAACAUAUAUGAGGAUUCAUAUAAAAGAUGUUACUGGAUGCGACUAGAUUUUAUUCUCUCGGGCUUCUAGCUCUUAGGAUUCAAGUUUGUCGAACUACAGGGCAAGAACUGGUGGUAUCCACUUCCUUCUUUUCUGCUUGAGAGUUCUCGUCACCAUUAUUAUUUUUGUUCCAGUUGUCACUGGACUUUACCGGUUUUUAUUUCUGAUUAGCCAAUGACUUAGUUGUGCAGUUUCUCGAUGAUUUUCACUGUCUUAUUAGCCAUGUGCCUAUGAUGUAGUUGAGGACAAGUUGAGCUGCAAGCAAUGAUGUAGUUAUUGCUUCAUAAUCUUUUUUAGAUUUAGAAUACAUAUACAGAAGUAAAUUCAAUUUUACAUAGGGAAAUUGAGUAAUACAAGGAUUCAUUUUAACUGCUUAAUUUAUUAAGAAAUAGUUGGUGUCAUGCGCCAUGCAUAGAAAUAAAUCUUUAAAUAUAUAUAUAAUUUCAUUUAGUUAAGUUAAUUAAAAAUAAAAAAUAAAAUCAUAAAUCAUAAUGUAUUAUAUUAAAAAAUUGAUCAAUUAUUAUUUACUUUUCGGUUUGACUUAAGAAUAUUUAAUUUUUAGUUUAGUUAAGUAUAAUUAAGUUAAACUAAACAAUUAAAUCUAUUUUAUAUUUAUAUAUUUAAAAUUAUAGUUCUGAGUAUACUCUUUUGUUUAAAUUUAUUACAUCCAUAAAUAUUGUUUAUUUUAUUUAUCUCAAUAAAUCAAUAAUUAUCACAUAAAAAUUAUUGUACACCAUUUAAAUCUAAAUAAAUUCAAUAGAUUAAAAACUCGACUAACAUCUAUAUACCUUUGGAUUCAAAUAUAACUUAAAAAUUAGUUAUUCAUUAUUUUAAAAAUUUUGAUCAAAAUUAUCAUAGUUAACUUUUAAAAAUUCUUUUAUAAUUUUAAUAAAUUUUUAUAUUUAAAGGUAUAUUAUUUUUUAAAAUGUUAAUAAUAAUUAUAAAUAUUGUUUAUGUUUAUGGUAUGUAUCAGAUGAUUUAACUAUCUUAUUUUAAGAAUCUUACCAGAAAUCAAAGUAUUUACCAUCAAAUAUAUAUAGAUGUGUGUGUCAUUAUUAAAGAGAAGUCAUGUCAUCUUUUUAACUAAAACAUGUCAUCAUUAUUUUUCAAAAUGAAUGUGGUAAUGAUACUUAAGCAAGAAAAAAAAAAUUGUCUUAUAAUGUUUAUGAGAUAUUCAGAGCGUGCUUAUACAAUUAUCUAGUUGGUUUUUUGCGACAUGCGUAGAAAUAAAUCUUUUAAAAUAAAAAACAUAUAUUAAAAUAUAAUUUCUUUUACCAUAUAAAUAUAAAUAUAUAUAUUUAUUUUUAUAUAAGACUUAGCAAUCAACAAUCAUCAUACCACAAUUAUUGUAUAACAUUUAAAUCAAUAUAAAUUCAAUAGAUUGAAAACUCAAUUAAUAAUCUAUAUAUUUUUGGAUUAAUAUAUAAUUUAAAUAUUUAAUUAUUCGUAAAAUUUUAAAUUUGGAUCAAAAUUUUCAUAGUUUAUUUGUUAAAAUUCAUUUAUAAUUAAUUUUGAUGAAAUAUAAAUAAUUAUACGAAAUUAUUUACUAUUUUUAUCAAAAGUUCAUUUUAAUAUACUUUUAUAUUUAAAGUUAUAAUAUUUUAGAAUGUUAAUAAUAAUUAUAAGUAUUUUACGUUUAUAGUACUUAGUCAGAUUUUGUAUAACUAUCUUUUUUAAAUAAUAAUCUUACAAGAAAAUCAAAGUAUUUACUUUUAAAUUUGUACAUGUCAUAAUUAGAGGGAAGUCAUGUCAUCUUUUUAACUGAGGCAUAUCAUCAUUUUUCUUUCAAAAUGAGUGUGGUAAUGACACUUAGACAAAACUUGAAAAAAAUCUUCACAAAUAAUGUUUUAAGGAAAAAAACUAGAUUUCCACCCGCACAACCGUGCGGGUAUAUAUUUUAACAUUUAUAUAUAUAUAUAGAUAUUUGUUUUACAUAAUUAUUAUAUAUUUUAAUAUUACUCACAUAUUCAAAUUUUUGUAUAAUUAUGCCAAAUAUAAUACUUUUAUAGUUUUUUAUGUUGUAAAUUAAAAUCAUCACAUAUAUAUAUUGCUUAUUAUAUAUUUGUCCUAUUGAAUUUGCGUUUGAUUACUAAACUAAUUUUUUUAAUGCAUGAAACAACAUAUAUGAAAACAAUUUUGUAUUUAAUUUAUUAUAAUCAUGAUCUGUAGUUCAAAUCGCUAGAUUGUUUUAGUAAUUUUUAAUGUUUAUUAAUUAAAAAAAUAAAUUGCUGUAUAUUAAAAAGUUUAAGAUAAGAUAAAUUUUUAUACAUGUAUUAUAUAGUUUACUAAUAUUAACCCGUUCUACCAACAUAUUAUAUUUUUAGCAUAAAUAUUUUAUAUUUAUGAAAAUAAAAUAUGUUAAAUUAUCAAUUUAAAAUAAUUUUAUCAUAUUUUGUUCAAUAUAACGUUUUUAUUUUAAAAUGAUGGAUAUUAUUAUAAAAUUGAUAAAAUAUGAUAUAAUUUUAUUCUUUAGUAACAUUUCAUUACUAAUUACAAAAUUAGUUGAAAAUAUUUAUAUCCCAUUUAUGACAAUUAAUAUCUUAUUAUAAUCUUUUUCAAGAGAUUUGUUAGAAUUUUAAAUUUUUUUAAAAAAUUAAAAGAUAUAAAAGAUAUUAUGAUUAAAGUAGUUAAAAAUAUUAUAUAUAUUAGCAUUAGUGAUAUACAUUUAAUAGAAAAUUUAAAUGAUAGUCCAAAUAAAAAUAUCACUCAUAAAAAAAUCAUGAUUUUUAUUUUAUUAGAAAAAAAUAAAAUAGAAAUAAAUAUUUAUUUCUGACAAAAUCUUUAAAAAUUAUUAGUAAAUGUAUUUUUGAAAUUAAUUAAUUUCACUUUAUUUAAAUUUUCGUUUAUAAACCAAAACUAUAUUCAAUUUUUAUUUCUAAUUAUAAUUUAUGAUAAUUUAAUUUAAAACUAACUAAUUUUCGAAAGUAAAUUUAAAAAGAUUCUAAGAAGAUUUUAAAAAGAUUUUGUUAGAACAUUUUAAAUAUAUUUAUUUGUAUUUCAAAUAAAAAGAUAAAGAUAUUAAAAGAUAUAAUAAUGAACUUAUGUAAAAUAUGAUAUUUUUUAGGAAUGGUCUAAACUAAAAAAAUCACACAUGAAAAGAAGUCAUGACUUCUGUUUUAAUAUAUUAGAUAAUAAUGUUUAGGGAUGUUAACCCGUUAUUGCUUCAUACUUGUUUUUGGAUUAAAAAAAAUACAGAAAUUUAAUCUUCAUAAAAAUAAAAAAAAAAUAAACUAAAAUACAAAAGAGAAGAAAAAUAUUUGUUAACUCAUUAAAGUCGUGAAAUAAGGACAAUAUCCUAAAAUAAACAUUUCCGAUAACUAUGAAAUAAAAAGAGAUGAAUAAAUCCAUGGAAAAAGAGAGAGGGAGAGUGUGUGUAACAUAAAAUGACGCAGUGUAUGAGUUUAGAAAUGUUGGUAAAUGACGAAACACUUACUCAAAUUGGCAUCAUAGAUGGAUAUACGGAUUUACAUGAAAGCUCGUCUAUGAAGUCUUUGUGAAGGUGUUAAAAAAAAUAAGUCUUUAUGAAGAAAAGAUAUUGGUUGUUACUCAAUCACUCACUUCCAUUUAAUUUACAUUAUUACUUAUAUAAAACUAUAUACACUGAUUUAAACGCAACACUAACUUCACCAUAAAACCUGGACCAUUCAUAAUAUCAUGGUCCAUGUACAUGUAUUUAGCUAGCAAGAAAAGGCUAUGUAUUAAGCUUUGUAUAAACAGAUGUAGUUUCAAGGGUAUGAAACAUUCUAAUAACUAGCAGUUUAUAACAUUAUAUUUUAACAAAAACAAAAAUAAUAAUUUAGCUAAACAAAUCAACUACAAAAAGAAUCCUCACAAUAAAAGUACAAAGAAUUGAAAGGAAGAAAAAGGAGAGGAAGAUUUAAUGUAAAAUUCAACACCUAACUCUCUCUCUAGUAUCUUCAAAAUCUUCUGCUCUUCCCCAACUUACUCUUCCUUUGUUUCAAGAGUUUUGCCCAUUCACACUACAAAUAAUACAAAAUACAACACAAUCAACUCUCAUCUAACUUUGACCCCUUCCUCAAUUGAUUGCUCCUCUUCAUCCAUCUCUUCUAAAGCUAAAACUUUUCUACUCUCUGACUCUUUCCUACUUCUAUUAUUA
rnacentral:lncRNA from 1 species